UGGCAAUUGUACCCGCAAACCCGCAAACCCGCCCAAACCCACCCGCCAAAACCCGCCCGUUGCGGGUAAUUUUACCCGUUGCGGGCGGGUUUAGUAUUAUAAAUUAAAACCCGCACAUGGAUGCGGGUGGGUUUGGUAUUAACCUUAUAUCCGGUGGAUACCCGCAUGGAUAUCCACCAAACCCGCAAUAUUUUUUUCAAAUAUUUUUAAUUUAAUUUAAAUAUAAAAAUGUAUAAAGAAAAUAAUGUCAUUAAUCAAAUUACCAAAUAGACAAAGGCUCAAAGUUGUGUAUGUAUGUAUGUGGCCCAUCUCUUAUUCUAAAGUCAUAACCUAAAGAAAACUAAAGGCAUUUCCCUUCGAAUUAGUAUUUGAAAAUAUUAAUCUUAAUUAUUAUUAUAGGCAUUGUGUUGGAUGGGUGCUUAUGCUGGUGAAUGAAAUGAAUAUCUUCUCUGGGAUCUUGUUUUAAAUGAUAAUAUGAAAUGUAAUUAUUAUUUUUAGAUACUAGUUUGUGUUUUUUAAAUAGAUUUGUGUAAUUUAUAAUUAAAUUUGAGAAUUUGUAUUGAAUUGAUGUGGAAAUUUUAAUUUUUCAUUGACAUUGUUUAAAUAUAAAAUUGAGUAUGAUAUAUGGAAUUUGAGGUUAUUAUUAUAAAUUUAUAUAUUAAAUAUUUGUGAUUUUAAAUACGGAAACCCGCAAAAAAUCCGCCGGAUACCAUUGCGGGUUUGGUAAUUGUUAAAACCCGCUGCGGGUGGGUUUUUUUAAAAAAAUUAAAACCCGCUGCGGAUUGCGGGUGGGUUUGGUAAUUUAAAUUUUGUGCGGGUUUGGGUUUGGUAAUGGCAAACCCGCUGCGGGCGGUGCCCAUUGCCAUCCCUAUGCAUGCGGAUUGAGACCACAGUUAUUCUAAUAUGAUUUUUAAUUGAACAGAAAGCUUCUGCUCAGUAAUGGUGUCGAGAAACUUAUCAGACAGGCAAAGGAGAACCACGAAAUCUGCAAGGAUGCAGCCACUGAUGCAUUGAGAGAUUUGGGGCUUGAUGACUACAACAAAUAGCUUCUUGUAAGCCACUGCCGUUUUAGUAAAGAUUCUCCUUCCCCAUAACACCCCCCCCCCCCCCCCCCCCCCCCAAAAAAAAAACACUGGUACAAUUUCUUUUUAUUUUUUUAUUUUCUUUUAAAAAUUUUUGAUGGUGAUAGGAAAUCUUGCCCAGUGAUUCUAUCCACAUUGUUCUUAACUAGUGAUCCAGUUUCACAGUAAUUAUGAAUUCAAAGCUGCCGCAUCUUAAUCCUAAAUUGCGCCCAAAUUGAGAAAAAUUUCAACCCAGAUUAAUAAAAACAAACCGAUGGCAAUCUGAAGUGCAGUUCAUGAGAUCGCUUCAUCAUAAAAGGUAGUCUAAAUGUCAUGGAACAGAGAAAAUUGUACAAAUUAUACUUCAAAUGGAACAAAACAAGGAUCCGAUUAAAAUGUCAUGGGCAGAGAAAAUUCAUCAGUUUCAGCAGUACUAUGCUACUGGAGUUACAUUCCUUAAGAAACUUGUAUGAAAAUUCUAUUAUGAAUUGGUUCAAGCCUCAAAAUUUGUACAGUUGAAUAUGCUGUAAAGAUGCCUCUGCUCUAAAACAAACCUGCAAAUUAAAUCCUGCAAAGUAAGCAAUGAUGUAUACUUAAAUCUCAGCAAUCAUAGUUUGCCACAUUUGUACGCACACCGAACAUAGUACCACACAUAAGAUCUUUACAAAGUAGUGAGUAAAAGCAGAGGUUGAAUGUUAAUUAAUACCUAAGACAUCCCCUCCAGAUUAUCAGAGCUUCUAACAAUUUGGAGGAAAAAAAAAGCCUGAACCAGUUGUUAUCUAACCAUCAUAUGGUAUCAGCAGCCUGCAUUCCGAAACCAGAUUACAUAGUCAUUCCAGACAUCAAGAGAAUAAUAAUAACUUUCAAAAGAUUAUUUACCUAAUAACUUUCAAAAGAUUAUUUACCUAAUAACUUUCAAAAGAUUAUUUAGCCACCAGUUGACUACAGAAGUGCUAUUGAAACAUCUUGCGAUAUUGCUUUUUCUCCUGCUCACGCCUUUCAUGGAUCUGUGACAAGUUUUACAAUUUAAAACCCAGUUAAACAUAACUAAUUAUUGCUACAUAAAUUACAAAUUCAGUUUCAUCUACUAACCUUCUUCUUAGCAACAGCAAGUUCCUUCUUUAUACCACCUGAAUGCACCAAAUAACAAGUUAGCUACCCAUAACUGAUUCUAACGGCUGUUUCUGCGUAAACACUGACUUGGCUAGACCAUUAAUGCUUGUGUUAGACUCUUCAAAUUAACAGAAAUGAACAACUGAGUCGACUACAGAUACAUCUUUUGUGACAUAUUAUUCCCCUAUUUUCCAAGCAUUGAAGUAAAAGCCAGAGCAAAAAGUUCUAACAGGGGAGGCCAUUCCAUCAUUAAUUUUGUGGCAGUGGCUCAGUCAAAAUUACUCACGUACCAUCAUUUGGCUCCAAUUUUAGUGCCUUCUCAAAGCUUUCAACUGCAGCAUCAACAUCAUUAAGGGCCAUGUAUGCCUAAUAGAUAAAAAGAACAAUCAUUAAGAUUAGAAACUACCUCAGGGGACCCAAAAUGCAAUUACAACUUUCCAAACACGAGUAAACUAUCCAAAAUUUAAAGAAAUUAUAGCACAGAAACUUUUGUCAGAUGAAGCAGAGAAACAAAGCUUGAUUCGGUCAACUCCCAGUUGUUAGAUUCCUUACAAAAGAAUGAUACUAACCUGACCUUGUCGAAACAAAGCUUUCACAUUGUCAUCUCCAUCACGCAUUGCAAACUCAGUAUCCAACAAUGCGCCUUUCAGAUCACCCAAUUUCAGUUUACAAGCCUACAGCAAAUAGAAAGCACCAAUUAUCAAAGGAAAAUAAUCCAAGGAAAGAAUAAUAAUAGUACACAGGCCUAGGAAAAGAAAUAAAUAAACAUGCUGCCGACAAAGAUGGAAGGAAUAAGCCCCCACAAGAGGUUUUAGUGAUCAGAAAUACAAACACGUGCAUGAGCUAAACUUGAUCAGCAUUAGCUUUUGAAGACUACGGGUGAAUACUUAUCCUGACUAAUCAUUUUCAUGGAUGCUGCAGCUUUAUGAUAUUUUGUUCAAACUUUAUUACAUACACCUACAUAUUUAUGCCCACAAAUAUGUACAAGUACAUGUGUUUGUACAAGAAAAAUAUGUUUGCGAGUAGGUACAUGCAAGUAUAUAUGCACAUAAGGAAAAGUGAUGAUCAUUUUAGUCAAAGAGCUAUGAGGAAAAAUAUUUACAUAUAGAGCACUCAUUGAUCAAACAUCAAAAAGCAUGAAAAACUUACAGAACUAUUUGUGAAGAUCUGUGACUUUGUCUUUCUUAAAGAUGAACUCUUCCCUGCAGAAUCAGAGGGAAUAGAUUAAGUAUAAUCACGUAUCAGAGGCUCCAUAAAAUUUGGAAAACGUUGUAAAAUACCAUAGUUGCAGUGAAGAGAUAACUAACCUUCAUCAAUCCCUUCUUUUUCCCAGCAGAUAUCCAGAUAGCGUAAGGCCUUCCGGUACUUCCUAAGUGCCAUCUUAUAGUCUUGUUUCUGCAUAUAAUCAUCAGUGUGGAAUUAAAACUUUUAUUGUAGGAAAAAUUUGUAAAAAGAGUAAUUGAAGAGUGAUAGAUAAACAUGAGAACUACUAAGACACUGAAAAAGACGGUAAUGUUAAUUUCCUCCCAACUUCUACAACUUCAUCUUCGCCGAAGUACUAUUUAAUAUACCAAAUAAAAUUGAAACCAUCACGAUACUAUUACCUUGUAAUGUUCGUUUCCAAAAACCUUAAUAGAAUCAACGGCAUUCAUCCACCAAGAAAGUUCAUUAGGUGUCUGAUCAAGGUCAGCUGGCCAAUCAGGAUAUGAAUCACCAUCGUUGAAAAAAUUAGAUAUCCCAUCAUCAGCCCCCUCAGGAAUCUCUCCGCAAUCUGUGAUGGUAACAUCAGCAAUGGGGCAAUCAUUGUCACCAGUCAUGACAUGUUCUAUUGAACGAACAACUCCCAUUCCCUUAAUUACCCUCCCAAACACAACAUGUUUCCCAUCUAGGUGAGAUGUACGAGUUGUGGUGAUGAAGAAUUGAGACCCAUUUGUAUUGGGACCAGCAUUAGCCAUAGACAGCAUUCCUUUUCUUUCAUGUUUCAACUCAAAAUUCUCAUCCUCAAACUUCAAUCCAUAGAUUGAUUCUCCACCAGUCCCAUCUCCAGCAGAAAUAUCUCCUCCUUGUAUCAUAAACCCUUUGAUGACACGAUGAAAGCGAACUCCCUGAAACAACAUAAACCUAAUUAGACUAAAAAAGCAGCAUUAGAUAAAAGAUGCCGGGCAAUCACUGCCCCCCACACCAAAGUAAAUGGUAAACCUACAGUGCAAAAAACUAGCCGGCAGCAUAUUCUAUCAAAUUGAUACUUGAAACAAUCUUAUAUCAAAAUUUAUCACCGCUUAGGGAGUCUUUGCACUCUCGAAUAGAUGAUAAAUCUUCGAUGAAGAGAUCAAACAUGCUUCAAACAAAGUCAGUAAUCCACAUAUUGCCUAAAAAUUUGGAAAACAACUCACAAUCAAAAAGGUCAACCAACCAUCAAACUAUAUACACGAGACAUUCAACAACCAACAAUGCCCUUCUAAUAUUAUCUCCUCCCAUACUUCUAAAGUACACUAAUAUCCCACAAUUUGUCCCCUUCAUCAAGAUUCAAGAUCAUUAGCGUCACUUUAUCAACAACAACUGGAACCCAUCAUUUACAUAACCAACACAACUUCAAAAACACAAACAACCUUCAAAAUGCGUGCCAAAAUCAUAAGGUUAUAACAAAGAACCAACCUUUGUCCCACAACAAAUAAUCAAAAGGUCAACUUUUAAAACAGAAACAGACACAUUCACAUAAACAACUCACCUUGUAAUGAAGAGGGACACCAGUAUUAGGCCCAAUGCCCUUCUCACCAGUACAAAGAGCCCUGAAAUUCUCAGCAGUCUUGGGAAUCACGUCGUUGUAAAUCUCCACAAUAAUCCUUCCUUCAAGCUCCACUCCAAUGCUUAUGUCCAAAAAACACCUUGGUCUAGCCAUCUCUCUCUGAAGAUUGUUAGAGCUCUCUGUUUGUUUCUGGAGGAAACAAGAAACAAACCCUAACCCCGCUUGUUAUUUAUAGUUUGAAACAAAGAGCAGAGGGCGGAGAGAGAGGGGUGGGGGGGCCCUUUGAGGUUUGGUUCUUGCUUGUUUUGUUUUGUGCUGCUGCUGCUGCUGUUGUUUCGUUUUGUUCCUGGUGUUUUUUCUAUCUAAAAUCUUUGGGGUUUGUGUGGGGUUUUAUGUAAUUCUAUAACUUCUCUUAGCGGUCCCUGUAUAUUUAAAUAUUUUGAUUCAGGUCCCAAAUUUUAGUUCUUUUUACAGAAUUUGGACUGUAUCCAGAAGAAUCGAUUUGAUGGUAACCCGUUUGGAAGUGGAUAAUAUUAAUAGGAAACCCAACAACCAUUAAUAAUAAAAGUCAUCUAGAAUAUUCAUGGAGCUGUCGUUUAUAUUUGUAAAAAGCACAUGCUUACAAACAGAGAUCGUGUCCUUGUUGUUUGAAAUUUUCUUUUUUUGCGAAUAGUUUUUGACGUGUAACAAAAAAAAAAAUUAAAUUUUAUUAUCCAUUAUUAAGAAAUUGGAGUAAUGCUGAGAAGUCAGCCUGAGACGACAAACUCACCUUACAAAGGAUUCAAUAUGCUAUAAUUGAAAAUUAGGGCGAAGCUAUACGUUUUUUAUUAAUAAACUAAUUAUGUGGGUCAAUAUUUUUCUUUAAAUAAACCUUUGGGCCACGUUUGGUUUGAAAAAAUGGAGGAGAGGAAAAUAGUAGAAUGGAGAGGAAAAGAGAAGACUAGUGAAAUUAAAUUUUGUUGUUUAGUUUGAUAUAAAAUUUGAUAAGGAAAUGAAUUAUAAUUUUUAUCUUUAGAUAAAUUUAUUAUUUACCUUAAAUAUUAAAUUAUUUAUACUAGUAAUAAAAAAUAUAUUUAUAAAAAAUAAAAUGGUGGUCUGGUGGCUGGCGGUGAGGUCCAACAACUUUCUGACGUAGGUUCGACGACUUUUCGACAAAAGUUCAGCGGCGAUCCGGCGGUAGUCCGGCGAAGUCCGGCAACUUUCCAAUGGAGGUCCAUUUAUGUUAUUAAAUCAAUAAAAUAAUAAUUAUUAAUGGCAUUAAACAAGUUAAAAAGUUGAAGGGUAAUUUUGAAAAUUUUAGUUUUUAACAUAAGAGAAAUUUAAAUUCUUCAUUACUUGGUGUGGAAUUCAAAUUCUACAUUAUGAUGGAUAUUAAAUUCUUAUAUAUUUUGUCAAACCAAAUAAUGGAAAUAAAAAGAGAAUUUAAAUUACAUUCUUUUCCUUCCAACCAAACACCACCUUAAGGGUUAGCGAGUGAUUCUUCUUCUUCUUUGACCUGUUUAUAGAGUAAGAUUUCAUCCCCUAUGAUAAGUAUAUACACAAUAGUUUAAUUGUUAAAGUUUAAUUCACGAAGUAUGUUCUUUGUAUUGUGAGAGGUAACUUUGUGAUUAAUUAUUUAGCUAACUUUAGUGAUUGAGUGUUUCCUAAAUAAUUUUAUCUAGUGAGAUGAGCCACCUAUUUCUAUUAAGAAGUAUUUACUUAAAGACUACUAAAAUCUUCUAAAACAUCGGUUUAAGACACCAUAUUUUUUUUAUCGUAUUCAUUUUUUUUCGUAUCAUUUAAAUAAAAAAAAAUUAAAAAUCAACAUUUGAUAUUACUUAAAUCGACAAAAAUUAAUUCUAUAUACAUCAUAUCUUUUUUUUUUUUUUUUUCCUUUUGAAGACGGAUUUGGUUUGUCAUGGGAAUCAACACAAAGAAUCCCCUCCAUUUUGUGUGAGGACUCACUCAAACAAUAGUAUUUAAUCCAUCUUAUUAUUAUUAUUAUCCCUCACGUGCAAAGCUCAUAGCUCUUCUUAGAACCUUCACAAAUUACGGCAUUAUUAACAACAUUACACCAUUAAAUGAUAUACCCUCUUGCCUAUUUCUAACCCAUCCUCUAUCAAAACUCAAAAGUCGGUCUUGGGUAAUCAAUAUUCAAUAAUUCAUUAUGAGUACACUGAAAAUGAAUCUUUCGUGAAUAUGCAAAAAUGACAACGGGGAAAGUUGAUUGAUGUUUAAUAUUUUUCUUCUCUGAAAUUAAAAUAUUGGUACGCAUGUCGGUCGUGGGAUUUAUUUGUACCAUACGUUAUCAUCAUGUGCAUACAAAGAAGAGAAGGAAAAAAUGUCUUUGCAGUGAUCAAUCAAAGGUCAUGUCUUGUGUGUCUCAUCAACUUUCGGGUAAGAUUCGGAGAAAAAGAGAGCCACUGCCCAUAUCUAUGGUACCAAUUGUACUAGUGAAAGUUUGAAAAAAUGGAUCAUUUUUCAAAUUUCAUCGACAGUACCGUGUGAUGCUUUCGAAUGGCUGUAGCCACAGUAUGUUACUAUUGUCCCUAUAAUUUAAUUGCUUUCCAUCACGUCUCAAAUUUUUCGUAAUUUAUGCAUCGUUCGGGAUAUAUGUAACACAAGAUUUUGGACAUGUGAAGAAAAAUAUGUGUGCGUAUAUUUUCCAAUAAUGCGGGCGCUCUUAUUUUUUUUCGUGGACAGACGGUUAAAUAUAUAAUUUAAUAAAAUUAUAAUUUAACAGUGUAUUCGCGUUAAAAAAUGAGAGUGUUCGCACCUGAAAAUAAUAGACACACAAAAACAAACAAACACACAUACAUACAUACAUACAUCAUGCUUAAAAAGAGAUGGCGUAUUCGGAGCUUGAUGCUCACAAAAGUUCCAUCACUCGAAGAAUUUGCCGUAUCUUGAAUAAGAGUGAUCACAACUUGCUUCCUUGUGAUGCAAGUAUGGCCGUUAUUUCCCUAAAUUUAAGCUAACGCUACGGUAUAAACUAUGCUUCAACCUUCACCAGUUUAUUAUCACGAGCAUGUGACAUAAAAAUGAAAUGGGUCCUCUCUCAUAUAACAAAAACACAAAUUCCCCAAUAAUAUUUUUAGAUAUAGACACCAUUAUAGCAUUGUUAGUUACACCAUCAAACGAGAUAAGUAUUGAUAGUACGUAGAGAUGUGAUUAAAUAUUAUUAUUAACUAUUAUAUUGCAAAAAUAAAUAAAUAAAAAUGUUGGCAGAAAACUCAGAAUCAAAUAAUAACUCGGCACCUUUAAUGGAAAAGUCCACUUCAGUAGCAUAGAAAAUACACUCCAAAUUGUCAAUAUUAAAGCAACUUGCAACAAAUAAAAGAGACAAAUUUUGAAUAUAAAAAGGGUGUCUACUCAAAGCUGACUCGUGCAUAGCGACGAUAAUCGCAACUCCCAAGUGGAGCACUUAAAUUUCCACUCAUAUAUAGCAGUUGUUGAUUGAUUAGUCAUUUAUUUUUAUAUGGAAAGUGACAUGAGGUUUAUUUUCUUCCUAAUAUAAUGUAUAAUCUAUCUUGCAUAGACUCCAAUUCUACACUAUCACGACAUUAAAAAAAUAAUAAAUUGAAAUUUAACUAAAAAUUUGUGAUUAUGUGACGUUAAAGUCAAUGGAUGAAAUUGUCAUCCCUCUACUUGAAAAAAAAAAGAAAAAAGAAAAAGAAAACAAAGUCAAAUUAUGAAAGGCUAUGUCCUAAUUAUAAAAUGGGAAAAAUUGUGGUGCAACUGUGGUACCGUGCCACAGUUGCAUUCAGCCGUUGGAUCUCAAUAGACCCCACUCAUUUAAGUAGAUCCAACAACUGGAUGCAAUCGUGGUACGGUACCACAGUUACACCGUAGCCGGACCCUUAUAAAACCAAGACGCACACAAAAUUGAAAAGAUCAUUGAUUCACAAAAUUGAAAAGAUUCAUUGAUUACAAGAAGCCACAAGUUACCGGCAUUUUUUUCAUGUCCAUUUAUCAAGCCUCUCGAUCAAGUCUAGAAUUUGCCCAAGACACAUUUUGAGUUGGGCCAUUUGUUGUUGUUAAACAUGAGUGGUGUCCAUAAAUUUAUUUACUUCCAACUAAUUAGAGGGCAAAAGAUUAAGUAAAACAUGAACACACCACGGAUGGUCUAAAGAUAGGUGACAAAAAAUAAUCAAAUAUUAUCUCUUUUUUUUCAAUUUUUAAUAAUUGAAAUAAAUGGAGCCAAACUUUUAUGCACAAAAUGAAAUGAUAUGGGCUUCUUUGAAAACUAUUAAAUUAAAGAAAAAAAAAACUUAUAGAAGGAAUGAAACUACCGGCUUUCAUGAUUCCAAAUUUAUAUCCCAAAAAAUUUGACUAACUGAGGUGUUAUGAAUUCUAAUUCACAUCUGUCGUAAAAUCAAAUUACUACUUGAUAAACAGUUACAAAUGGGCUUACAAAACCCAAGCAAAACAGACCCAGAUGGAUUUGAGCACAGCAUAAAUGGGCUGGUAUCAAUUAAUUAGCUCAAUAGUCAAUACAUAGAUAGUUAUUAAUUGAUUAAAAAUCUCGAUCCAUAUAUUUAUAGGAGUCUCAUUAAUAAUAUUGAAGAGGAAAAAUCUACACAUAUUUCACAUGUUUAUAAAAAAAAAAAAAAAAAAAAAAAAAACAACUGAUACAAAAACUUAAAUUAGUGCCUCAAUGUCGUUGAAGAAAAAAUUACUUAAUUAAAUUCCACUCGAGCAAAAGCUGGUACUAAAAAGUUGACUGACAGCAGAGUCGAAGAUUUGAAAGUGAAAGAGAUAAAAAAUUCACUAAUUAAAAGAAGACAACACAGUACACAGUACACAGUACACACUACACAGAGAGCUAGACUACUGGAGUCAUCAGCCUUUUUACUUUUUAGUUGAGGUGAAAAUAAAUGGUGUCUCAGGCAAAAGCUGCCUGCUACACAUGAUUCUCAAAACACAAUCAGAUUUCUCACUUUCUCUAUUAUUUAAAUUCAUCACAUAGGCAUCAUUUUAUAUACACGACCUUUUAAUUUCCAGUAGUCUAACGAGUGUGUUUUUUGUCCUAUAUACCUUCUAAAUUAUUUAUUUGAGGUCUCAAAUUAUAUAUAUUAAAAGAGGUAGAAUGCGUUUGAGAUUGAGGUUAGAAAAUUAUAAUUUUUAAGUUACGGUGUUAAUAUAUUUGGGAAAUUUACACCAAUAGCCAUAAAAAUUUACGCGUUUUCCAUCUUAACCACCCAAAUAAACUUCUAUCAACAUUAGCCAUAAAAAAGCCUUUGAGACCAAAAUACCCCUUUCUCCCCCAACAAUCUCUUUUUCUCCCAUCUCUCCCAAACCGAAGAACCUCCCAUCGUCAGCGGCCGUCGUUGGGCAACAGCAGUGAUCUUCCUGACAAGGCUUGGCCUCAACCUAGAGAUCGUGAUCCUUGGAUGCCUGCGGAAGGCACGAAGAUGAAGACCAGACCAUGGCCUGGACGCUGGCCCUUGUAUGGGGUGAUGGAGAAGGUGAAAGAUGUUUCAAAUGAUCUAACGGUUGAUGAGUUUGUAUGUUUUAAGGGGAUCUUAGCAUGUUAGAGAGCUCUUCUGAUGGAAAAGGUGGUAUCUUGGGUGAGUGAAAUGGCAUCGGAAUCCAGUUUUGCGUUGCCAUAAAGCAACAGUUUUGAAGUGUUGAAGCCAUCGAAGGCAAACUUUAAAGCACCGGUUGACUCAGUUUCUAACUUGGCUGCUGCAUGGGAAACAAAUAAUAAAUAAUAAAUUUGAGUUACAGCUAGAAACAAAUAAUAAAUUUGUCAUUAAUUGGUUUCCUUCCAUGUCAACUUUUCUGACCUUUGCCUUGUCAACAUAUCCUCGUCUAACAGCUUCUUGAACCUGGAGAUCGUGAUCCUUAAGCAUCUGGUACACAUUGCCUGACAGGACAACCAUUUUUGGUGCCUGUCGCACCAAGCUUCGGAAACAGGUCGGCUUGUAUCGCAUCCUCUUUUCUGUCAUUGCUGAACCCUUUUGAGAUCAUUUAGCGCAACUGCAACUCUGUAAACAUGCAUUUGUUAUUCCAGAUAUUUGUGCAUGUAAUCCCUGGAGUUUAUACAGCAACAGAAAUAUUUUUCAUCCUGCCUUCCAAUGUUGCAAUCUCUGCCUUGACGAUUGAGAGAUGGAGGGCUUCGAGUACUCUUCUUAAAUCAGACAGCAGUCCUGGUUUAUAAUUGCAACACAGGGAUGCCUUAAUUGAAUAAGGAGCUCCAUCCAAUCCAUCUUCCUGCUGUUCAACUUUUACUUCAUCAAUGUUUGUUGGUCUGAGAAAUCCUUCAGUAGCUUCCGUGGCAUUCUUGUCCAGCUCUUUUACUUCACCACGAUCUUUUUAUCUUUUUAUCGGACGCUGAUGAGGGAUGAAGCCGCCGCCGAGGAGGGCUGAUGUUGCCGCCGGUGAUGGGAGUUUCUUCGGUUUGGGAGAAAUGGGUGAAAGAGAGUGUUGGGGGAGAGAUGAGAGAGAGGGGUAUUUUGGUCUCAAAAUUUCUUUUAUGGCUAAUGUUGAUAGAAAUUUGUUUGGGUGGUUAAGAUGGAAAACGUGUAAAUUUUUAUGGCUAUUGGUGUUUGGUGUAUUGACCCAGAACCAAUUAUUUGUCUCAAGCAUCAGCAGCUCACAUUUUUUCUAUCCAAGUGGAGGGUGAGGAAGCAGAAGAAGCAAACAGAGAACCAGAUGAUCUAGAACAAGUGUUGCAUCAUUAUAGGAAGGUUUUUGAUGAGCCGAAGGGUUUACCUCCUCAAAGGGGACAUGACCAUAAAAUCCCCCUUGAACCUGGAUCUAUGCCACCUAAUAUACGUCCAUAUAGGUAUCCUUAUGUGCAGAAAAGUGAGAUUGAAAAGCUAGUACAGGAGAUGCUCGAAAAUGGCACCAUUCGGAAAAGUGUGAGUCCCUUCUUUUCUCAUGUGUUGUUGGUCAAGAAGAAAGACAGAACUUGGAGAAUGUGCAUUGACUAUAGAGCCCUUAAUAAAAUCACUAUCAAAGAUAAGUUUCAUAUUCCUGUCAUUGAUGAGUUGUUGGAUGAAUUAUAUGGAGCUACAUAUUUUUCAAAGCUUGAUCUCCGAUCCGGUUACCAUCAAAUUAGAGUACAUUCCUUUGAUAUCCAUAAGACUGCUUUUAGGACCCAUGAAGGGCACUACGAAUUUUUAGUCAUGCCCUUUGGGCUGACUAAUGCACCAUCGACUUUUCAAAGCUUGAUGAAUGAGAUCUUUAAACAUUUUCUAAGGAAAUUUGUACUAGUAUUUUUUGAUGAUAUCUUAAUUUACAGUAGUGAUUGGAAGGAACACUUAGAGCAUUUGGAAUUGGUGUUUAGUGUAUUGACCCAGAACCAAUUAUUUGUUAAAAAAUCAAAAUGUGCUUUUGGUAAAAAGAAGAUUGAGUAUUUGGGGCAUGUAAUUUCAGAGGAAGGAGUUGCCACGGAUCCUGCUAAAAUUUAAAACAUGUUGCAAUUGCCUAAGCCUAAUUCCCUCAAGUCUUUAAGGGGUUUUUUGGGGCUCACAGGUUACUAUCGGCGGUUCAUUAAAGAUUAUGGAAACGUUAGUCAACCACUCACUGUUUUGUUGAAGAAAGAUAAUUUUCAGUGGACUUAAGCUGCAGAAGACGCCUUUGACCAGCUCAAACGCAUCAUGUGUGCGGCACCAGUAUUGGCAAUGCCAGACUUCCAGAAAGAUUUUGUGAUUGAGUGCGAUGCAUCCGGAAAUGGGAUAGGAGCCGUAUUGUUGCAAGAGGGUAGACCCUUAGCUUACCUGAGCAAGGCCUUAGCUCCGAAGAAUUUGGGUCUUUCGACAUACGAAAAAGAAAUGUUGGCUGCUGUCAUGGCAGUACAAAAAUGGCGGCCAUAUGUGGUAGGACAGCACUUUAAGAUAAUCACUGAUCAUCUCAGUCUAAAAUUCCUUUUAGAUCAACGAGUUUCAACUCCGAUGCAACAUAAAUGGCUUACCAAAUUAGCUGAUUAUGACUAUGAGAUCGUCUACCGUAGUGGCAAAGAGAACACAGCUGCAGAUGCCUUAUCAAGGGUGCAGGAGGAAAGGGAAGAACCAAUUAUUAUGGCCUUGUCAUUUCCAAUAGCAAAUUGGUUGGGCGUGCUACAAGAUGAAUGGAAGAACGAUGAAAACAUACAAAAACUCAUCCAGGAGAUUCAGCAAGAUCAGAAGCUACACUUUAAAUUUACCUGGGUAGAUAAUCAGCUGAGGUACAAAGGAAGGUUGUGGUUAGGAGAUCGAUCUGAAUUAAAGAAGACGAUAUUGCAAGAAGCUCAUGGUGGAGUAGAGGGUGGACAUUCGGGGGUGAAGAAAACAUUAGAAAGAGUACGGAGAGCUUUUUAUUGGAAGAAGAUGAGAAGUGUGUAAAUUUGUAGCUGAGUGCGACACAUGCUAGAGAAAUAAGGCUGAAACUAUAGCGUCUCCGGGACUGUUACAGCCGUUACCAAUACCAGAACUGAUUUGGUCUGACAUUUCCAUGGAUUUUAUAGAAGGCCUUCCGAAAUCUCAUGGCAAGAAGGUUAUCAUGGUAGUGGUUGAUAGGUUGAGCAAAUAUGCUCACUUCCUAGCAUUGGCACACCCGUACACAGCAAAAGAUGUAGCUCAAGUGUUCUUAGAUAAUAUUUAUAAGCUUCAUGGCCUGCCAAAGACUAUAAUAAGCGAUCGAGAUCGAAUCUUCACUAGUCAAUUCUGGAGACAUCUCUUUACUCUACAGGGUACUCAAUUACUUAUGAGCACAUCUUAUCAUCCGCAGACCGAUGGUCAGACCGAAAUCGUUAAUAAGUGUCUGGAGCAAUACUUGAGGUGCAUGACUGGAGACAAGCCAAAGGAGUGGAGUAAAUGGUUGCCGCUUGCUGAGUGGUGGUAUAACACGUCAUUUCAUUUCUCUUCUAAGAUAACUCCAUUUGAGGUUGUCUAUGGCAGGGAGCCUCCUACUUAUACAACUUAUAUUCCGGGUGAGACAUUUAUAGCAUCUGUGGACCAAGCUUUAAAGGACAGAGACUUAAUGAUUCACCUUCUCAAGGAGAACUUACAUCAAGCUCAAAGCAAAAUGAAAAAAAUGGCGGAUAAGCAUCGGACAGAGAGGGAAUUUGAGGUAGAUGAUUGGGUUUAUCUUCGGCUACAGCCUUUCAAACAAGCUUCUCUAGCUCUUCGGAAGGAUAAGAAGUUGGCUCCUAGGUUUUAUGGACCUUACAAGGUGCUUCAAAGGAUUUGGCAGGUGGCAUACAAGCUAGAACUUCAUUCACACUCCAAAAUCCAUCCAGUUUUUCAUGUCUCUUGCUUGAAGAAAAAACUGGGAGCUGCUAAUGUUCAGCAGACAGAGCUGCCUACAAUCUAAGAAUAUGGGAGGAUGCAGUUGGAGCCGCUAGCAUUGUUGGAGAAACGUACGGUUAAGAGAAACAACAUGCCUGUAGUUCAGUGGUUGAUUCAUUGGACUAAUUCCUUUCCUGAGGAUGCUACAUGGGAGGAUGCCUGCGUUAUUCGACAGAAAUUUCCAAAAUUUGAGCCUUGAGGACAAGGCUUCCUGAACAGAGGGAGAAAUGUUACGGCAAUUUUCCUUUAAGGCUGAUUUGCCUUGAUUCUAGCUAGUUGUUUUUCCUUAUUUAGUUGUUUCCUUUAUUGGCUUAUUUCCUUGUUUUUUCUGUAUAAGGAGAACUGGAUUGAGGGGUUAUUUUUUAUGCGAAAAACUUAAUAAAACUUCAGGAGCUUUGCUUCUCUUUUGGGUUCAACCUUUUUGGUCUUAAGAAACAUCUUUCACCUUCUCCAUCACCCCAUACAAGGGCCAGCGUCCAGGCCAUGGUCUGGUCUUCAUCUUCGUGCCUUCCGCAGGCAUCCAAGGAUCACGAUCUCUAGGUUGAGGCCAAGCCUUGUCAGGAAGAUCACUGCUGUUGCCCAGCGACGGCCGCCGACAAUGGGAGGUUCUUCGGUUUGGGAGAUCUUUCACCUUCUCCAUCACCCCAUACAAGGGCCACUGUCCAGGCCAUGGUCUGGUCUUCAUCUUCGUGCCUUCCGCAGGCAUCCAAGGAUCACGAUCUCUAGGUUGAGGCCAAGCCUUGUCAGGAAGAUCACUGCUGUUGCCCAGCGACGGCCGCCGACAAUGGGAGGUUCUUCGGUUUGGGAGAGAUGGGAGAAAGAGAGAUUGUUGGGGGAGAAAGGGGUAUUUUGGUCUCAAAGGCUUUUUUAUGGCUAAUGUUGAUAGAAGUUUAUUUGGGUGGUUAAGAUGAAAAACGCGUAAAUUUUUAUGUCUAUUGGUGUAAAUUUCCCAUUAUUAAGCCUCUCUGCACCUUUGCUUUUAUAAACAAAUAUGUACGUGAUGCAUUGUUGGCUUAGCUUUUGAAUAUCUCAACUCUUCUACUGAAACUUGCAAGCUCUUGAUCGGUUAAACCGAGGAAAGUUUUUAGGUUAAUAAAGAGCAAAAUUAAACACAUUCACUGAUGAAUAAGGAGAAUAUAUAGUUAUUAAAAAACAAUUUGGCCAAAAAGAGGCUCUCUUUUUCUUCUUUUUUUUCCUAAACAAUAUUCUUAAUUCUUGGCAACAUCAAUUCAUUCUCCGAAAUGUUCAUUAAUUUAUUAAUGACUAAAACCCUAGUGUCUCUUAUGCCCCAACAAGGAAUGUUAUGAUGCAUUUAUAAAUGCAAAAUCUGCAAACUUUCACGUUCCCUCCUCAUAACAAGAGUAUCCUAUGCCACCAAUAACACAGUAAAUCAGUAAUUAACCUACCCAAUUAAAGUUGUCAAAUCCUCAUCCGUACUCGGCCAUUUUCUUUUAUUCUUUUUGCCAUAAACAUAAACUUGAAGCAUUAAUUUUUAUAAGAUUGAAAAAAAAAAAAGGAAAUUUACAUGCCCUCAUAAAAUCACAUAAAAUAAUAAUACCCCACGAGAAAAAUGAAAUUAAGAAAUUAACUUUAAAAAAAAAAAAACUACCCACAAAUGAUGAAUAGGCUCAAAAUCAAGAUUCAAGAUUCAUUUUUGUUUUGCUUGUCUAUUCUCUUGAUGAACUGGCUCUUGUACAUGUUCCUCUUCUUUAAUUUCUUCUUGUUGUUGAGGUUGAGGUUGAGCUUGUGCUUGUGCUUGUGCUUGUGCUUGUGCUUGUGCUUGAGCUUGAGCUUCCUCCACUACUACUACGGGUUCUUCCACGGGGAUGUCGGGUCGGGCAGUGCGAUGUGGAGCCGGGUCGAUACUACCAUCAAGACAAGAAGAGCACUUCCUCUCAACCCACCCUUCAAAAUCGUACUGCCCGCUACCCAUGAUCCGACGACCCGUACACAGCCUCCCUAUCAUUCCGGCUAUCACCCCCAAGAUGGUGAUCACCGCAAGAACCGCUAUCACCGGCCCGACCGACCCGUGACCCGAAUGGGCCGUGUACGCUUGCUGGGUUCCCUCCACCGCCGGCGGUGGCUGCUGCCCAAUCACUGGCGUCGACAUACUCACAUAAAUUUAUCAGGGUUUCUGCGAGGUUUUAUGUUUUUUUUUUUCCUUUCUUGUGUAACUUUUAUAAACAAUUUUGAAAUUUGUUGUGGGAAAAGCAUGAAAAAACAAAUUAUUAUUGGUACAUAAAAGGUGAUGGAAAUGAGAAAGAUAGGCAAUGUGGGUUUUUUUUUUCUUUUUUCGUUUGCUUUUCUUUUUAUUUGGGUUGUAAAGAAAAGAGAAGAAAAGAAAAGAAGGUGAGGGGAAAACUUGAAGGGAAAGUCUUGCUCCAAUGGAGAAAAUGGGUUUCCUUUGUUGGGAGAAUUGCUUCUGGUACUGAAAGGAAAUUCUUAUGAGAAAAUGUUUUGAAAUGGGAAAAGCCAAAUGGACUGGACUGGUUUGGUUGGGAGGCGCAGUCGCUUUGCUUUGGCCAAAAAAAUUGAAUCACAUGUUGAGUGUACUUGAAAUUUUAAUUAAAAAAAUCACAAUUUUUUCACUUCCACUUUUAGGUAUUGAGCCAAGAGAUUCUGCAUGAAUAGUGAUACUUUUAUGCACAAAUAUGUUAAAGUUUGAAAUAAAGCUUUUUAUUAAUUAUUUUGGUUAUUUAUAAUUAAGUGGCUAACUAAAAUUUAUAUUAGAGUUGAGUCGCAUGAUCUGAAAAUGUAUUCAGCUUUCAGAUUUCACGAGAAAAAGAAUGAGAGCAAUCUUGCAUGAACAUUUUAGAUGAAGGGCCUAAUGGGUGUUUUAUAAAAGUAUUUUUAAAUUUGAUUCUUUUUUUUUUUCAAAAAAACAAAUUAUAAUGCCAAAGAGUAUCAAACAAAUGAUAUAAUAACACUUUAAUAAUGUCAAAAACACUUUGAAUCACACUCCCAAGUCCAAAACACUUCCAAAAAGGUUAGAGGAAAGUGUGCUCUUAGUGCUCUUAUUCAUUAUGAAGAAAACCCUAAAAUAACAUUUUCGAUCUUUAUCUUCACUUUUGUACCUCUUUUCUUUUCUGAUUAUUUAUUUAUUAUUAUUAUUUAUUUUUGGCACCGAAUGAAGGAGCUCAAAGUGCCUUCAUUCAUUUUUUUUAAAAAUUGUUUAGUUAAUUAUAGGCACAGGAUAAGUUUGCUUUUUUAUGAAAGGUCAAAAAAGUUACAUUUAAAAGAUGUCCAAAAAGUUGCCAAUUAUGUUCAAAUAUUGAGCCAAUCGGUCCAUCUUUUUUUUUUUCCUUCCUUCUCCUUUCUUUUUCAUUCUGUCCCACUAUAAUGCCAUGCUGGCCCGUAGUGAUGGCUAGUUGUAUUCAUAAAAUUUGCCACAAAUAUUUCUCGUGAAGUGUAUAAAAUAUGUGUUUUUAUAAUUCGAACAGAAGUAUUUGUUUUUUUUUUAAAUAAAAGAUUAAAACUUUUGAUUACAAUAUAUUCCGUUCUAUGAAAGAUUAUAUUUAGAUUAGAUUAAUAAUACAAAUACCCUUAUGCAAAAUAAGUUAGCAGCUUACUUAUCAUGAAGAAGCUGUUUAGAUAAAAGGAUCACAUGACCCGAAUAAUAUUUUUACUAACUAUUUUUACUUUUCAAUCAAUCACCGUAUGUAAUAUAAGUUGUCGACUCAAUUCGUACAAACAUAUUUAUAUAAUUAUUUGCGGUUUAUCAUUGUUAACGUAUAAUUAACGUAAACAUUUAUAUUUUCUAAUGUAAAUUUGAGACUUGAUAAUACUAUUGACUGUAAUUUAAGAUUAUGUCAUUAGCGAGAUAAUAUUAUCUUACCUCAAAAUUGUAUUUAAAAUUGUCUGACUUCAAAAUUAUAUUUAGAACCUGUACACAUUUGCAAGGAGAAGAACUCUUCAAAUUACUUCCCAAAAUUGAAAAAUAAAAAUCCCUUCUUAAUUUUUAAACUCGCCAUUGUUAUUAUUUUUGUGCUAUAUAUAUAUAUUUUCGAAUUAUGAAAAGUUGGAAACUUUCAUUAGACGCUAUCUUAAUGAUUAAGCCUACCAAAGCGUUGGCUGUGUAGAAUUUUGUAUAGGAGUCCGAGAAAAGGAUAGCUCUUGCUUUUACGUAAUUCACCCAUAUACCCCCUGACACAAGUCACAUAACGAUACAGAAAAUUUUUGGGUUCAUUAAAAUGAUAGAACUGAAAGAUUUUUCGGAAUUAUAUUAAAUUGCUGUGCACAUUUUGAAAUCCAAAAAAUUGAUUAUUAAAAAAAGAAAUUAAAAAGCCUAGAUGGGUAAAAAAAAAAAUGAAAUAUUGAGUAAACAAAUCUCGAGAGUCAGCCUGGAGAAUCUAUUCAGAAAGCAGAGAAUAUGUUUCAGAAGGAGGAUGAUGAUAAAUCUGAUGAUCAAGCAUGAUUAUGAUAGCUCAUGAUUUAUAUACACCAAUAAAACUUCGGCAGAUCAAAUUAUACAUAUAUAAAAAAGAUUGGCCUUGCGAUAAAAGUGCUUUUUCAAUAGACGAAAGAGACAGAAAUCUCAAUGGUGAGUUUUAUUAAUUUGUACAAGAGGUUGGGUCACUGCUCAGGCAUCUAACCUGCAUCUCUCCUUUCAUAUUCCUUUUUGAAUCCAUGCACUCCCUGUCGGCUUCUUUUUUUAGAUUUACGUGCAUUUGAAUUCAGCCCUAUUUUAUUAUUCUUUUUCUCUCAUUAAACACUUUUCUUGAUCCCAAAAUCAAAGUGGAAGCCAAACAAUUCAUAAAAUAAUGUUAAGCAGUACAAGAUUUUCUUGGCACUUGAUAUCUAGCGGUCGGUCACUUGGUCACACAUAGUGGGGAGCCACUAAAUAUGAACCGCUUUUAUGGCAAUAGUUAUUUGUAGUAAUUUUCAUCAAUUAGUUACCUAGUUUAGUAGAUAUGUAUAAUUUGAAGUUAAUGGGGCUUCAAUGAGAUGAAAAUUCAUAAGAGAAGCAAGUGGUCAAAUAUAAUCACACUAAAUAUUCAUUUUGAUACACACACGCAUAUAUUUAUGCACACAAAGCACUGAGCUGGCCAGAUUAUUCCUGUGUUGACGGCAUAAUUUAGAUAAUUAAUUAAACCACAGAAGUUCCAACAAAGAGACUAAUUAAUUCAUUACAGACACCAACUUAGUUAACAGACCUACAGGACUUCCUGAUCUGCCCAUCUUUCCCGGUGAGUUGCCAAUCUUACUCAUCUUCACCGUUGAUGCAGCAAAAUCAUAGGAGAAAAGAUAUGGGUUCGUGCUAUAAGCGUUAACCGAUGCGGCAGUCCUAGGAGCGGCCAUUAUUAAUGUUUGAUCGGAUUCGAGAAGGCCUGUGCUUCUAACAAGGUUUGGUGUAAUACGCAUUGUCAAAUCUGUGCACAUGCACUUGGGGAGUCAAGAGGAGCAAGGUUGCUGUUUGGUGCAGCUCGGCUAAUCUGGACAUUUGGCUUGCAAAUUCGGCCGUGCAGAAGAAUCCAGUGCAGUGAUUCACACUAAAAAGUGUAUAUUUAAUAAGGAUAAAUUAUUAUUUUUUACUUAUUAUGUCGAUUAAUGCGUUUAUUAUUUUUAAAUUAUUUUAAUACCCUCCAAAUAUAUUUUAUGUUAAAUUAAUUUAUAAAUUGUUAAUUUUUAUCUUAUAAAAUAUUUUUCAGGAAUAAAUUAGAAUUGAAAGCAGGAACAAAGAAGAACUGCUGGAGCAAUUUGGAAGCAUUAUUGAGGAGAUGUAAAUAAAAUAAAAUAAAAAAUAAAAAAUGAAAAUGAAUAAAAAAAUAAAAAAAGAACAAAAGAGCAAAAACAAGUAAUUGGUUUCUCGUGAUGGUCAAAUUACCAUCAUGACCACUUGACCAUUACACAUUUUAAUGUAUAUAAUAAUAAUAAUAAUAAUAAUAAUAAUAAUAAUAAUAAUAAUAAAUAAAUAAAUAAAUAAAUAAAUAAAGAUAAUGCAUUCCUUGCCUAUAAAAGGCAAGGAAAUGCAGGAGCCGAGGGGGAGAAGCUAGAGAGCUAUUUUGAGAGCUGAAGCCGAGACUGCAGAAUUUAUAUCUUUCUUUCUUUUCUUUUCUUGUUUCCGUUUGUAUCAAUUUUCUUUGUGAUAUAUUUCAAAAAGUUUAUCAAAUAAAAAGAGUGUUGUGUUUUCUUUCAAUAUGAGUAGCUAAUUUUAUUAAGUUGAGGUGAAUGGUGAAGCUCAAUGUUUUAAACUAUUAAUUAUUAUUAUUUUUUCAGAUGAGUUUUUAAGUUUAUUUAAUUCUUUUCUAAUUAUUUUUAUAUCAUGUUAAUUUAUAAAUCUCACUAGAUUUUAUGGUAUUUUGACAUAAUAUCGACACAUUAAUAUAGUGUGGCACAUUAGGUACUUAUUUUAUAUUUAUCCACACACAUAUAAUUAAAUAAUAUAAUAAUUAAUUGGUAAAAGUGAGGCAAAAUAUAAAUGAGAAAGUAUUAAAAUUAUAGUUUGAAUAGAGAGAGUGGAUAAUAAACCUUAGCUUAUUUUUAAAUAAAUUUUAAAUAAUUUCUUUGCCCCGCAAUUAAUUUUCUUAGUUUUACUAGAUUUAAAACUCCAUGUGAUUCGACCCUGGUCUUACCGAGUUAUAUUAUAACUAAACACUCUUAUACUUGAGAAUAAUACACUUUUAAAUCGUGUCAUGCAGGGUCUGGCUUUGUAGUUGAAGAGUCUGUGCUUGAAGGCGAUGCAUUAAGCAAAGCUUAUGGCGUGUGCUCCUGUAGAAAGAACCAAGUAGCCACGGGUUUUUGCUAAUUUGUUAUAUUUGAUACAUCACCUACAGUUUGUUUGUUACCAAUUCCUACACAAAUCAUUUCAGCCACUUUCUUUACAUUUCAAGGGAUUGAAAUGAUUUUUUAAGCUUGCAAUGUAGGCCUAGGACUAGAAUUUUGGUUUACGCCUUAAGGGGGCUAAAAUGAAAAAAAAAAUGGUAAAAUUAAUUUCGGCUUUUGAAAAAAGAAACUCUUUUUUUAUUAAUGAACAAACGGAAACAAGAAAAGAAAAGAAACAAAGAAAGAAAUAAACUCUUCAACUAAACUCUCUCUCGGCUUUUGAAAAAUCAGCUCUACUGACUUCUGGCUCUCCGUGCUAGCUUCUUCUCUUCAGCUCAUUUGCCUCCUUUUUAUAGGCAACAAAUGCUUUAACUUAACUUAUUUUAUUAUUUAUUUAUUAUUAUUUACAUUAUCAUUGUUUUGAAAUGUGUGAUGGUCAGGAGGCCAUCCAACAUGCUUUUGUUCUUUUUAUUUAUUUUAUUAUUUAUUUAUUUAUUAUUACAUCUCUUCAAUUGUAUUUCGGUAGUUCUUUUUUGUUCCCGCUUUCAAUUUCAAUUCCAUCUUUAUUCCUGAAAAAAUAUUUAUAAGAUAAAAAUUAAUAAAUUACGAAUUAAUUUAACAUAAAAUAUAUUUAGGGAGUAUUAAAAUAAUUUAAAAAUAAUGAACGCAUUAAUUGACACAAUAAGUGAAAAACUAAUAAUUUUAUCCUUAUUAAAUGUACAUUUUUUAGUGUCAAUCAAUAUUCUUUCACAUCACCGUCGUGAAUCAGUCAUCUCUGGCAUUGGCGUGUUCGGAUUCAGUGUCAUGGUCUCCCGUUCGUGGGCAAGUUUUUUAAUCAAACCAUUGGAGAAGAUGAAAGGAAUGUUGUGCUUCAUGCUUCAAUUUGAAUGGAGGAAAGAGAUGGACCAUUUUUCCCUUUUUUUGUGGGUGUUAAUAUUUGUGGGUUAAUACUUGCUUUUGUUCUUUAGCCACUGGACAUUUACAAAGCUGAGACCAAUUACAGAACCCAAGGUGAAAAUUUCAAGUUUGCUUGAAUUUUUUCCAUCAUUGAAGGGCCCCUUUACAAUUUUAUCCUCACCACCCUAAUUAAUACAAAAUGGUAUACUAGCGUCAGGGGAAGUAUUUGAGAAUACAUCAAUACAAUCUAUCAGAUUGAGAAUACACCAAAUCUCAGGAAAGGUUUCUGAUAAUUACCCAUUAAUUAAUCAAUCUCUACGGCCUAAUCGAAUUGGCCAGUAAGGCUCUUCUGACUAAAUUAAAUCAGAUUAUAUGUAAUGGAAAGUCAGUUGAAGAAAGAGUUCUUUUGGCUUGAGUUCUGAGACUAUAAUCACCAGCACAACAGCCUCUCUGGCCGCAAGAGCCAAAAUUAAUAUCAGCAUAAGAAAUAGUUAAUGGGCAAGCUUUUUCAACUUCUGCUUUUAUGUUGUCAAUAACUUCAUAUCCUUGAGCUGAAUUACGUUUUGGCCGAGCGUUUGUCCCCCUCUUAGAAAUCAUCUGUGUCAUCUAGAAGAAUUAAGGCACAACAACCCUAUUCAAUAUAUAAAUAAUUAUUCUCAAGUGCAGAAUUUAUGUGGACACGUACUUUUACAAGACAUAAGGACUUAUAAAAUAUUUUGUAAGACAAUAUAUAUAUAUCACCACUUUAAUAUACACUUUUAGAAUUAGAUGUUGUUUGUGCGAAAUCAUGACUCUUUUUUGUGCUUAAACUCCCUUUGAAUAAUAUGGACCAUAAACUAUAGACAAAUUGUUAGGAGAAUGAUAAGAAUAUGCUUCCUUUAAGGGUCAUAGUAUCAUUUGACACACGCCCAAAAAAAAAAUAAAUAAAAAAGGAAGUUGAGAAUCUUGUGAUGUACAAGCUUUCUUAGUGGAAUUUUGUAUAUGUAGCAGGAAAGUACAUAUGAUACUAUUCGCAGCAAGAUAUUUAUAAAGUAUUGAUUAAUACUGAAUAUAUAUGAAAAUGGGACUUAAUUAAUAUUACAUGCCAUGUUAUAUGAAUGAUUAGAAUUUCUUCUAAAUAUGGGUACCAGCAAAAGUGUAAGAAUAAAGAUCCAAUUCCCGAACUGGAUUUUAACGAGCUUCCAUGUGGUUGGACACGGAACCCAGACCAAAAGGAAAAAAAGUGAAAUACUAAAUGAAUUAGGAUAAAAUUAUGUUGCAACUGUGGUAUGGUACCACAAUUAUUUUUAAUUGUUAAAUUUAUAGUUGUAUAGUUACAUAAAUUGGAUUUAAUGGUUAAAAAUAAUUGUUGUACCAUACCAUAGUUGUAACAUAACUGGACCCAAUGAAUUAAAUCAUGACAAGAGAAUGACAAAAAAAUUUAUUUUUUAGUUUAUUUUAAGGAUUUAUAUACAUAUAAUCAUAAAAAAAAUUCAAAAAAAUCUACGUUGAGACAAAUAUUUUAUUAUCGUCCUUUUGUUCCUUUAUCAUUUUCCAAGAAAAAAAAUCUAAUAAUUCCCUUUCCCAACAGUAUAACAUAAUAUGAUAAAAUAAAAUACUAACUUUAAUUUGCAUCUAAUAAGUUAAUAACAUUACUUCAUUACUAUUGGGUUUGUUAGCCUUAUGGUAAGCCGGUGCUCUUAAGUCUUAAUAAUGUUAAAGGCAUUCAAGCCCUCAUGAGAUUCUUUUUUUCUUUUUAAAGAUUUGUCUUCAAUGUUAUUAUUAUAAAUAAAUUUUUGAGCUAGUCUCAAGUCUUAGUAUAUUUAUGAGUCGUACUCUACUGUCAAUGUCAAUAUUUUUUUUUUGAUAUUAAUCAUGAGGUAUCCUGGGGAGGGCCCCAACUGUGGGAGGCACCUUUAAGCCCGUACCACAACCCAGACUAGAAAUCCCUGCUCGAACCGGGAGGCACAGGUUCUCCCAACAAAGGCGACUUCCGUGCGACUCGAACUGGGGAGCAAACCCAGUCAAGCCACUUAAGGGGACUCCAUUGCCAGUGGAGCCAACACUUUAUUGGUACUAUCAGUGUCAAUAUAAAUGUAAAUAUACAUGUGCUUAGAGUCUCAAUAAUGAAAAUUGAAAAGGACUCGAUGAUAAUGCAAAGAAGAAAGAAUAAGUUUGAGAAGAGUUUCCUUAACGAAAGAAUCAUGAAAGUGCAACCGAAGAAGGGAUGCAACUAUUCUGUCGUCGUUCUAUAAGAGAAUGUGAUCUAUAUUAGCUAAUUAUAUGCUUGUGCAACCGAACACAAAGUAUUUCUGGUGACCUGCUGAGGACCAUGCUAGGUUAAUUUAUACACAAAUACGAUGGAGGUGGAAGCAUUUUGAUUGGUUAAACCUGGAAAGUGGCUAUGCCACUGAGGUUAAUUGGAGGGUUGAUAAGCAUCUAAUGACAUCAUCCAUUCACCUCAAUGAUCUAUAUCACAUUAUUGACAUUGACAUAAGAAAUGCCUUACAUAAAACGAUCACAAGCUUCAAAGCCUAAACAUAAAUUAUUGAAAGCAUUGUGAAGUUGGAUGGAUGAUCCUCUUAAAGAAAAUUUCAUGUUAAAGAUCAGUACGUGGGAAGUGGAACAAGCUCAUUUGAAGACUAGUACAUUUUGGAUACCGAUCAUACAUAAGAGCUUCAUGAAACUGGACCAUCAGGUAGUAAUUAAAUGCAAACAUUUAGUUGCGUUUAACGGUUUAGGAUAUAUAGUGAUGGCAUCUUAUGGCUACAUCUUGAAUCUUUAUUGUAUAGAAAAUUUUCUCUCUCUCUCUCUCUCUCUCUCUCUCUCUAUAUAUAUAUAUAUAUAUCAAAUUUAGAUUAUGUCUCUUGCUGCAGCAGUACUACUUUACUGACUUUUUAGGGAAGUCAUUUAUUGUACCUCUACCUAGAGUUAGUGUAGCGAAGAGUUUCACUCAUUCAAGACAUAUUAUAGGCUACACACGAAAGCGAAGGCGCUAGGUGCAAACUACAUGCAUAGUAGUCUUUGGUUUAUUUUGUUCUUGAGAAGUUUUAUGUCAAUCUUUCGGACUCACUUGGUGCUUGUGAUCUUCAGGAUAAGUAUCAUUGGUUUGCAGCAGUGAAUGGAGUUUAGAAGAAGCAGUAAACAGUUUGCAGCAAUUGAAGGCAAUUAAGAAGCAACAAACACAUUACCACUUGCUUCAACUUAUUAUAACGAGUGGGAAUACAAGUGUCCCUUCUAAGGCAAGCUACCAAAAGAUACAUCAUGCAUCGCUCUUCGUAUUAGCUAAUGUAAUGUGAUUGGUUCAAUAUGGUCACCACCUUGUUUAGUAAUUGGUUCAAUUCUUCAGUAUAUUGUUCUGGUAACAUCAUAUAUCGGCUGUCUUUACUCCCAGGGAAAAUUCUGAGAUGAUUCCUUUGAAGGCUUAAAAAUCAACUAAUCAAGUAUUAAGCCUUAUCUUGAUCUGUUUCCAUGAAAUUAUUUCUGACGACAGGAAGAUAAGUUCGCUACUAAAUUCUUACCAUUCGAUUGAAAGUGCAGGACUUCCAGAUUAGGUGCCUUUUUUUCCCCCCCAGUGGCAAAUACUCGACCUGUGCCGAGUGAUACUUGUAGGGGUUCGGGGUCUCAUUUCUGCAUUAUACCUUUAAAUGUGCACGGAUAAAAAUAGCAGGACCCAUCAAGGGUCCUCACGUUGUGAUUGAGUGAAGAGUAAAUAUCACACAGGAUUGAAAUUUAUGAGCAAAGCAAGUGGUCAAAUGGUAGCAGCGACCUUCAAAUAUAAACAGACUAUACAGACAUUUUGAUUCUCACAGAUAUGUAAUUAGGCCAGAUUAUUUUUAUGUUGAUGGCCUAAUUUGAUACAUAAUUAAAUUACAUAAAGACUAACAUUAUAGACACCAGUUUAGUUAACAAACCUACAGGACUUCCUGAUCUGCCCAUCUUUCCCAGUGAGUAUCCCAAUAUUACUCAUCUUCACCAUUGAUGUAGCAAAAUCAUUGUAGAAUAGAUAUGGGUUCAUGCUAUAAGCCUUAACCAAUGCAGCAGUCCUAGGAUCCCCCAUUAAUGCUUGAUCGGAUUCAAGAAGGCCUGUCCUUCUAACGAGGUUAGUGUAGUACACAUUGUCAAAUCUGUAUGCACUUGGGGAGUCAAGAGGAGCAAGGUUGCUGUUUGACGAAUCCUGGUUUGGACAUAUGGUUUUCAAAUCCGGCAGUGCAGAAGAAUCGAGCGCAGGGUCUGGCUGGCCAGACCCUUUGUAGUUGAAGAGUCUGUUCUUGAAGGCGAUGCAUUGAGCAAAACCUAUGGUGUGUGCUCCUGUAAAAAGAACAAAGUAGCCAAAGGUUUAUGUUAAUUAUUUGUAUUUGAGACAUCACCUAGUCAUUGAGAUGAAUAUUAUGCAGGGGGUGAAAUAGAAUUUUGGUUUAGUGGGGCCAAAAUGAAAAAACUACAAAUCCUGUAAAUUGAGAGGGCCAAAACAAAAGAUUUUCAAAUAAAUAAGCUAAGUUUCAAUUAGGACUCUUUAGUAUCAUUUAUGUUCUCUUACUCAUGCUUUCUCUUAAAUGGCUUGACCAGUGUAAGAACCUUUAUGCUUUCAAAUGCAAGGAAUGAUCAUUCAUUUCAGAUGGAAUGCCAAUGAAGCACAAUUCUUUCUUGAAUCGACUUUUUAUCUAGAAAGCAUGAGAUUUUAAAACAAUAACAACUAAAAUGAAAAAGAAAGCAGAAGAAUCAAAACCUGAGAGGACUACAACAUCCUUGAUGUCAAGGCCCUUUGCUAAGAACUUGGCAACAAUGUUAUCCAGAGGCUCAAAAGGUGAUGGCAACUGUGCAUUAGCUGCGGACUCACUUGCUGUUAAUCCAUCUCUACGGCCUAAUUGAACUUGCCAGUAGGGCCCUCCUGACUAAACCAGAAUAUUAGGAUUUGAUGGAAAAGUCAGUUGAAGAAAGAGUUCAUUUCGGCUGGAGUCCUGAGACAACAGUUAAAUAGAUUUUAAGUUAUGAAUAUGUUUAAUUACCAGCACAACAGCCUCUCUGGCUGCAAGAGCCAAAAUAUCAGCACAAGAAAUAGUUAAUGGGCAAGCUUUUUCAACAUCUGCUUUUAUACUGUCAAUGACUUCGUAUCCUCGAGCAGAAUUGCGAUUUGGCAGAGCGUUUUUCUCCCCCUUGAAAUCAUUCGUGUCAUCCAGAAGAAUUGAGGCAUCACAACCCUGUGUACCAAAAGAGUACAACUUUGAACUCAAGCUGUACUGCUUGGAAGUAAAUUAAAAAACAAAAUUGCAAUAACUCUAAUCUUACUUCUUCCUUUUAACAUUCAUUGCACCACUUUAGCAUUUUUAGUAUUAGAUGUUGUUUGUGCUAAAUCAUGAACAUUACAGAUAAUAUAAAAACUGACUCAAAAUUUCCAUGUUAUGUGUAUAAUAGGAAAUUCUUCUAAACUAAUGGGUCCCAGGCUGAAAGAAAAACAAAAUCUAAAAAGUACUAAACAUAGCAUGUCUAAUAACAUCACUUUCACUCUUAACAAAACAUAGUUUUGGCAGCACUUCAGGUUUCUUCAGUCUUUCCACAAACCUGAUCAUCAGUAAACACCCUAGCAACUAAAAAAAUCUUAUUUUGUAGGCUAUCUUAUAAAAUUCCGAAUUGGUUUUGAGGAUAAUGCUAAGAAGAAAUAAUAAGUUUGAGAGUAUAUAGUUACAAUAAUGAAACAAUCAUGAAAGUGCAACCGGAGAAGGGAUGCAGCUAUUCUGUUAUCUUUCCUAAAAGCAUCCCAAACACCAUUCCUAACAAUCAUUGGCAAGUAUGGGCACGAUCCAUCAAACUGGCUGUAAGGAAAAGAGGAAACAAAGGGAAACAAACACAGGAUGAAAAAGAAGGGAAUAGUGCAGCUUGAGAAAAUAAUGUGACCCAUAUUAGCUAAUGCUUGUGCUGAUGAACAGAAAGUAGUUCUGGUGACCUGCUGAUGAACACCAAUUCUUGGUUAAUUUAUACACAAAAAACAAUGGAGGUCGAACCAUUUUCAUUGGUUAGAUCUGGAUAGUGGCCAUGCCACUAUGAUUGUUUGAACCUAAUUGUCUCGGCUAUGAAAAAUUUUACCACUUUUUUUUUUCUUUUCUCUUUAAUGACAUCACCUCCACAUACCUCUCUUACAUAAAUAGAUCACAAACUUUAAACAUAAGUUAUUAAAAAGUACUAUUAUAGGGACCAUCAUUUAUGAACUGGUGGACGUUAUUCUCGAAAAACACUUCAUGUGAAAAAUCACUACUUCGGAGUUGAACAAGCUUAUUUCAAAACUACGGCUUCAUCGUAGAGCGAAAAUGCAUGAGAGCUUCUUGAAACUGGACCCGUAUUUCACUGAAUGCAGAACAUCUACUUUCAAGCUAGCUACCCAUGUGUACUCUUUUGUAUAACGUGGUAAUAUCCAGCUAUUGAAACUUGUACUCUCCACUCUAAAGCUCUAGGAUUGAACCAAUUCAUCAAGUCAAUUGCAUAAAAAUAAUUAACUAAAUUAGAUUAAUGCAAGGUACACAGCUAAGUUUGCAGACUAGCUAGAUGAUAGUACCAGGCUAGAUAUUGUAUUUUAUGAUGUUGACUCGUAUACAUAUCAAUAUAUUUAUAUCAAGAUUCAAUCUUCUUCCCACAUUUGCACUGGAGUCUCAAUUGGAUUGUGACAACACAGAGGGUUAUCUAUCGGGAGAGGUUUCUUAAUAAGAUAAUAACUACGUGAUUUUCUAAUUGAUUUCUUAUUUCAACUUCAAGAAUUCCUAUAUAAUUUAAGCAACACUUUACAAAGAACCUUGGUAAAAUCCAAAUUGUCACCGUUUAAUUUGUAAGCCACCCUCACUGUAGUGCACUUAAAAUAUUUGAGCUUCUUUUGAGAAGAAGAUGAAUUAACAGUAUUCAAAACAUAUUCAUACAUGUGAUUGAACAACCUAAAACAUGAGUAGCAUCUCACAUCAGAGGGACAUGCCAAUGACUUUACUAAGCUAGUCAACUCCAAAAAGAUAAUGCACCAUAUACAUAUAUACACUUUGCCAAUUGCAUCAAAUUCUAACCAGUGGAAAUACAGGUGUCCCUUUAAGGCAGGCUACUAAAAGAUACAUGUACAAGCACUUUGUAUUAUGUAAUCUAAUUGCACUUUCAGUAAAGUGCAGAGAUAGUAGUAAGAAAGGUUGCACUACUUCAACAUGAUUGCUACCUAGUUUAAUCCCAUGGAAAAUUUCUGAGAUGAUUCCUUCAAAGAGCUAAAAUAUCAAGCAUCAAGCCUUAUCCUGACCUGUUUCCGAGAAAUUAUUUCAAACGACAGGAAGAUUAAUUGGCUACUAAAGUCUUGCACUCAAUUGAUGGGAAGUGAGUAAUUGCAUCUAAUAUCAAACCUUCACCCACAUAAUUUCCAAAAUGUAGCGCAUAAAGUUUCAGAUAAAAGAUGGAAUUAGGAGGUAACAUAAUCAUUUCUACCGCAAUAAUAAAAUAUCAUGCGUUUGUGGAUUAAACUAGCAAAAGUCCCCACACCAUACCUCACUUACAUGCCCAGAUAUUUUGGCAUGAGUUCCGUCAGCGGCACACUCUCUUAGUCUAAUCUUCAAAAUCGUGUUUAAAACCAGCAACAUGCAGCAUCAUGAACAAUCUGACAAAAGCAAAGCAUGAAAACAAUAAAAUUUUGGCCCAUGCAGGUCUCGAACCUGCGACCUUCGCGUUAUUAGCACGACGCUCUAACCAACUGAGCUAAUAGGCCAGAUGAUAUUUUCAGUUAAAGAUUAAUUUUAAUUUAACUUUGUGUUGGUAGUGAAAAAUUCUCUGCAUGUGGCUUAUUACACGGUGACUAAUGCAAAGAUUACAUGAACCCGUUAAAGCUCGUGAUCAUGGAUUCAUUUUGAUUUUGCUGGGGCCUAGGAGAAAUUGUUUAGACGCUAGAAAGUAAUUUAUUUUGAUUUCAAGUGGAUCCUUAUUAUGUAUUGCUUUUUACAUAUCAAGAAACCUUUGUGAAGCUGCUGCCAUUGGUUUUGGUUCGGUCCUUCAAGCUCCAAUAAAGGUUUUUUCUUUAUGUUGCUUCCUUUAUUAUCUCACCUUAACAUAUUGAGAAGAAACUGAGGAUUUUGACAUUAACUCUGCAUCAUUUCAAUUUUCUCAUGCAUUUAUUUUUUCUUAGCAUGCAGUAGAUACAAUAAUUACACGAAAGCCAUCUGUGGUUCUUUAAAUAAUUCGAAAUGACAGAUAUUAGUUAUUAAAUUACUGUUACACACACUUAGGGAAAAAACCUGAAUGAGUGCAACAAAGCUAAAGCAAAAGGAGCCAUAACUACACAACUUGAGAGGUAUAACAACAUAUCAAUAUAAUCCAUCACUAAAUUAUGUAAAAUUAUAGAGCAGUCUACAUAUUAUUGCCUAGUUAACUGAUCAUUUCCUGCUUUCAGGAAAUGCAGUGCCAUUAUCUGGGUAACUAACUCAGUGAAAGCAAAAGAAGAAAUACAUAUAGCUAGAGCACCAUUCAUUCUUAUAUUCCUGCAGGGAAAAAAAAAAAGGUGAAAAUUAAAACGAAAUUUAAUUCAAGGUGAACUGGGUGGUACUGGGGAGCUCAAUGGCUUGCCGCGUCCCAUGGUGAAGCCCCUGGUACCGUCUGGCAUUCGUGGACCUUUGAACGUUUGCUUGGCAGAUGCUUCAUUCUGAGAUGCAUUGCUUGAUUGAGGAGGUGGCGUAAGCAGGCUGCGGCUGUUGUGGCUUUGAGCCCGUCCACGCCCCUUCCCGCGGCCUCUAGCCCAUCCCUUCUUUGACCCCCCUGAGUUUUCUUCAACCUAACAAAACAAAACAAUGUAGAAUUGUCACAAUUUCUUUUUUAUAUUCCUUUAAAACUAAUUUGCUAUAUAAUGUAGCAACAAUGCCUGUGUACAUGAUCAUCACAUGCUCAUUUUAUGUUAAUGAUGCUUACAUUGUUGUUCUCAGCAACUGAUUCUUGGUUGUUUGGGUGAGAGGAAUCUUCAGCAGCAUCAGCCUCCUCAUCAUCUAAAAUGCCUUCAAAUUCUGACUUCUUGGUCUUGAGAACAGAUUUCGGCUGCACAGUUUUACAAUGGAAGCUCUCGAAUUCUAUAGAGCAUUGGCACAAACAUAAAAGAAAUGAAAAGAACAUGCUUCCACAUACCGAGCAUCUGAGCAGCACCCUUACUCGAAGCCCUUUCCUCCAGUUUCUUUCAUCAUUUAACUUUUCAACCUGGUGGUUAUGAAUCAAACUCUCAGCAAUGCUGCAUUAAUAUGAAGGAAUAUGAAAAAGAAACAAGCUACAUACAUCGAAGGAUCUUAGCUUUAACAUACCGCUUUCUCAGCGAUAUCAGUACUCUCAUACUCCACAAGUGCAUGCAGCUUAAGAAACAGGAAACAAUGAGAUUACAAUAAAAGACUAUCUGCAGUGAUAUUCAUGCUUAAGCAAUUAAAAUUUUUUUAUCCAUUCACCAUACCUUGUUGCUCACAAAGAAAUCACUUUUAGCACGAGAUGAAUUAGAUUCAGGCGGAUGGCAUAUUCGGAUAGUUUUCACACUGUUGAUGAUUAAAAAAGAAAAAUGUAACUGUUUCAACAACAACAAUCUUGACAUGUCAAAUACUAGGAAGAGAAAUUGAUAAGAAGGUAUAAAUCCAAACCUUCCCACUACACCAAAUAUUUUCUCCAAGUUUUGAUGAGAGUGAUCCUCAGGUAAAUUCUCUGCUACAACAGUGCAAGACUACAAGGCAGAUAAAAAUCGUAUUACCACCAAAUAAAUUUUCAAAAAGUACUUGAGGAUCAACAAUGUAAUGAGAAAGGUUCCAAUUUAUUUACCUGUAAUUCCUCUCUUUCUUUAUCGGUGAAAGGGUGUUUACGCCUAACCUUCUUGCCAUCAUUGCUUACAAUCUUUCAAGGCAGUUCGAAAGAAUAAGGGUGUGCAUAUUUAUAGAAUGAACUGAGAUAAAAUUAAGCAAUGGAUUGUGAAUAUUAACCCCCCAAAAUAAAGGACUUACAAGCUUUGAAGAGGACCGGAGUGCUUGAGCAAGCAAAUGGUUAUUACCAACAAGAGACUUAAUUUUCUUCAUGGAACCGAUAACAGAUAAGGGGACUGUUGCAGAGUAAAAUAUCAUGAAUCAAUAUAAUUUCAAUUGGAAUUACAAGAAACAACAACCUAAAAUAUAAUAUUAUUAUCCUUACCAAAACCUUCAGGAUCUUUAUUCACAUGCUUUGACAAAGUUUCAUUUGCAAGAAGACUCAUGUCACUGAACUGAUAUUCCACCUGUUUUUUGUACACAAUGUAACAGAUCAGAACCAUACGAAUGUACUAAAUUUUCCUAACGUGCUCUGAAAAAAAUUAUACACACUGAGAUGAAGAGAUUGCCUCGAUUGUUAGAAUUUAGAAUUUCAUCAAUUAUGCCCAACUAGUUGUUGGAACAACAUAUGUACAAAAGUACAUAUAUCUAACAAGAUUCAAAUUUUCACACAUUAAUACCACUCUCCAGUAUCAAAAGAAUAAGAAUUAAUCCAUAGCUUUCUAUGAAUCUAAUAUGAUCAGAUAGAGCUAGAGCAUGAACGCGGCCAAUUCUAACAUUAUCAACGUUUAUAUACAUAUCUUGAUGUAUAAAAUCUAAUGGCAAUUCAGUUCUCUCGCUACCGUGAGCAGGGUUUGAAACAUAGACCAUUUGUACCAGACCAAGAGACCUUACCGGUUAAGCUAACUACCAUCGACAAAAACAUAAAAUUUAAUAUCAAAAGGGGCUAACCUGUUUGAUGAUCUUUGCCCUAAGAUCAUCAGUGAGGACAUUCUUGGAGGUAUUACUGGGCAUUGCGACGCUAGGGCUUGAGAUCACAUACACAGGUUCUUGAUCGCCAACAAAGAUCCAAUCAGCAGACCCAGUAGCCGUGCCACCAAUGUACUGAAAACAAGGAUAGUAGUACCCAGAAAUAGGCAUCUGAGUAUGUGAUCUUGGAACAAAUUCAGGUGCCUGCACAUUGAAUUUGAAAGGCGCACUAGCACUGCUGCUACUAGUACUAAUAUUUCCAUUAUUAUUAUUUGAUGUUGUGUUGUUGUUGAUUUUCAUUAUCUCUUUCUCUUGAUUAUUAACAAUGUCUUCUUCAAUCUUCUCAGCAUGUGCUUGUGCCAUUAGUAUUUUUGUUUCUUGUUUUGUUUGGUGCCUUUCUUUUUUCUUUUUUUCUUCCCGUUUUCCCUUUUGCUUUCUUUGUGUGUUUUGUGACUUAUGUUUUUGUUGUGUGUGCUUUGAAUAUUUUUGUUUUUGUUUUUAAUUUUUUUUUUCUCUCUCUUGCUCUCCUGAAGUUUAGUAACUGAAAAUUUCAUAGUGAAUCCACAUUUGGCGCCCAAAUACGGGCAAUAAAAGAGACAGUUGACCGUUGCUUGCAUGUGGGUUUGACCAAAAUUUUUUAAAGGUUUGUAUUUUGCCAAUAGGGUUUGACCCGUGAGGGUAAUUUCGUCAUUCUAUUAUUUGUUUCAGUGGGAAUUGUUAACCACAAUGCAAGUGAAUAGUGAUGGGCUUUUAUCUUUCCUGAUUUUCUUGUACUAAAUAAAUCUUUUAUUUAAACAAACAUUGUGAAACAAGUUUAAUAGAUAUCCUAAAUAGUAGUUUUCUUUUAAAAAAAUUAAAAUCAAACGGUAUUUUUUUUUCAAUCAAAGGGUAUACUAACUAACUGAGUGCUAUUCAAAAAUUUGAAGAAGAAAGUAGGGGUGGGUAUCGGUUCGAUUUCAGGAUAAACUUUCGAUUUCGGUUUGGUUCAGAUUCGAAAUUUAAAAAAAUCAAUUAGUCUUGAAGGAAAAUAAAAACCGAAGUAGAACCAAUAAUUCGGUUCAAUUUGGUUUCGAUUUGAUUAUUAGUUUUUGAUUUUUCGAUAACGGUUUGCUUAACAGUUCAGAUUAACAAAUUGAUUUUUCGGUUCAGCUUAAGUUGCACACAAGACCUACUAUAAUCAAUGUAUAAUAAAAAUAUAUAAAAUAAUUUACAAAUUUGAAUUUGCCCAAAAAAAAUUGCAAGAAGUUUGGACUAAAAUGAAGAAUGUUUAGAAUUAUUGAAGUUUGGACUAAAAUGAAGAAUGUUUAGAAUUAUUGUCACUUUUUUAAUAUCAAAACUUUUAGACCAAAAUGUAAAUAAAAUAAAAUAAAUUUCUGCGUCAUAAUAGUUUUUAUCAAAACUUUAGGGAUCAUAAUGAUAUUUUUUCCUGUUGACUUUCGGUCAAGGAUCCUUUUGCAAAGUUUGCUAAAAGUAUGAGGUCAUAAUAGAAUUUCUGUAUGCAAAUAUUUCCUAAACAUUGGGUCGUACUAAAAUUUUAUAAAGGAUAUAGGUCCAAACAAUAUUAUUGAUUCGGUUCGGGAUUUGUUACCCUUGAUCCGAAAAUAGUUUGGUUUAGUAUUUAUACAUUUGGUUUUUUUAGUUUUAAAAAACCGAACCGAAAGUAAGAAAAACCAAACCAAACAGAAUUUUUCGGUUCUGCUUUGGGUUUUGCCUACCCCUAUAAAAAACAAAAGUGGAUUCUAAAGAGAAUCUGUCAAAUACAAACUUUUGGAUAACACUCAAUUAAUUUAGUGAGUGUUAUUCAUUUAGAGAGUGUUUGUUUUUUAAUUGAAUGAUUUAAAGUUAUUUGACUUAAUUAAUUAAAUUUUUAUGUGUUUAUUUUUAUAACUUAACGAGACUUUUCAGAUAAUUUUAACUUAAUAAAAUAAGUUAAUUUUUUGACUUCUUGUCGAGUAGAGAAAUCUGAAUUAGCCAACUAAUUUUAAUUGUAAAACAUGUUCAUAUUUUAUUAUUUAUUUUUUAUAUCUAUCCCAAAACACCCCUAUAUAUGUUUACCCACCACUAAUCUCAGCUUUAUUUUUUUCUUAACCAUAAUGGAAUCCCUCCUCACUUUGCUUCUCUCAUCAAGUUCUUGAAUCUCCCAUUAUCAAUAAUCAAAGGUAUUAUUCUUAAGCUUUUUAUGUAAUUAUAUAAUCUAUUUUUAUAAUAAAAAAAUUAUUGAACAUGGUUUUGCUUAUAUAUGAUAAAAUAUUAUGGUAUUUAUGUUAUUUGAUGUGGCAUGUGUGUAUACAAAUUUAAUAAGGAUACAAAUGUAAAAUUCAUGUUUUUAGUUUUUGAAGUUAAAAAAACAAACUACUUAAUGCUUAUUUUCAUAGAGAUACACACACACACACACACACACACACACACACACACACACACACACACAUAUAUAUAUAUAUAUUGGUUUAAUACAUUCUUCAUACAAAACCCUAAAAAGACCCAUUCGUGGUUAUUCUUUUUGGUGUUACUGGUAUCAGAGCCACGGGGAGGAUAGUGUAAUAUAUGAUAGAGACUUUGUGUUUUAUUUGAAAAUUGUUUGUGUGGUGAGUGUUACCUUUGGGUGCCUUGGUAGUUUUUGGUCGUAAGUCCUGAUUUGGUUGAAGGGCAGUAAAACCAAUUCUUAGCCUUGGAUUGUAGCCAUAUUGACAGGACUAAAAGUAGAACCAUGGAUUCUCUACUCUGUAGAACAUCGUCCUUUUCUAGCUCUUCUUCCGGGAAGACUAAAGAUUCUAAGAAUGUUGUAAAUUCAGAAGAAUUUGUAAUUGAAGACUUUAAUAAAGCAAUUGAUAAUUGGGAACUACCAAAAAUUUCUAAAGAAAUGAUUUACAAAACAAAAAAGCUUGAUUUCCUAAAGAAUGAUUAUGUCAUAAAAACUGAAGAACGUGACAUAACCAUUUCAAAGCCGUUUGAAAUUAUUCACUUAUUUUCAUAACAUUCCUUAAAAAAAUUAAAAGAUAAAAAUUUUAAUUAUGUUCACAUCGGCUUAAUACAAGUCGGAAUAAAACCCUUGACUAAAGAAGGACUAAAUACCUCUAUUCUUGCUAUCUUAAGAGAUGGGCGAUUCAUCUCUUUUGAUGAUUCUUUACUAAGUAGCAUAGAAUCGAGUCUUUGUAAAGGACCAAUAUCAUUUGAUUGUUACCCUAACAUAACAGUUUCUUUAAAAGACAAAAAUAUUCUAAAAAGCAUGAUUUUGCAAAUCAAGACCCAUAAUUAUCAUAUGAUUGAAGGAUCUGUUCUGGUAGCCUUAAUUUUUAAAAUCUCAUACAAAGCCAUGAUUUCUGCGUUCAGUACGCAACAUAAAUUCCAGUCGAAAAGAGAAGAGACUCUUCUCUUACAGACUGAUCUGUCUAAAGCCAACACUGUUAUUCUAAAGCCAAUCCAAUGGAAAGAUAUCAAUCUUCCAGACGAAUGGAUUCUUGAAGGAGCCACUGCUCCAGUGAUUCCAAAACAACUUGAGCCUAAUAUAGAGUUGCAAAAUGUGACUUAGUAUUCUGAUGAUAAAGUUAAAUUAUCUUUUAGAAAAUCUACUUCGACUAGAUUUUCCGACAAAGAUUCUGCCUCUAGUAUCCCCUCAUUAGAAAGGAAAUUUUCAAAAAUUCCUUCUGUAAUAAAUCUUCCUUUUCAAAGUCAACCUAGGUUUUCCACUUCGGACAUACCUAGUUCCUCUAUACACUUUGUUGACUAUACUACUAGUGUUCCACACCCAAUCUACACUAGCCGUUAACAUGAACAAAGACAAGAAGAGAAUGAACUUUCUCCUCCAACUUCUCCUACAUUUUCUGUUGUCACAAAAAAUGUUAUUAAUGUCAUUAAAAAAGAUUUUGAAUUGAAUAAAACUCUUCACAACAAUUUUUAUUCUGACAUUAAUAAAGAAAAAAGACUUUGGUUUUUCAAAAAUUUCUUAAACCAAAGAAAAGAGAUCCAACAAGUUUAUUAUGAAUUUGUAAACGCACAUCAAGUUCAUAUAUUAUUUUUUGAUUGGUUUGAGAUGUAUGCCUCUGAUAAUAACAUUGAUUAUCCUUUCAAAGAAUCAAAUCCCAUUACUAUUAGAAAGAAAACCCCUGAAUGAAACCUUUCUGAUAGUGAUAGAACUAUAGAAUCUGAACAUCCACCUCUUAGGAGUGUGACCAUUAACCAUGGUGUGCCUCCUAUAGAAAUCAAAGCCUCGCCUUAUAAAAUCUAUAAAACAAAUGAUCUAGAGACAAAUUUAGGCAGCAUUAUCCAACAGAAUAAUUUCUGUAAUGCUAACCUAAAUACGAUAGGAAAACAGUUGACCAGAAUAGAAAAUCAAUUCCAGAAGUCAACCAUAGUUGUUUCUCCUGUUACUUCAAAAUCGGAUUCUGACAAAAAGCUUAAAGAACCUAUUUUCAAACCUUUUCAGGUUUCGAAAACUAGUCAAAAGCUUGUUCAAGAGUCAAAAUCAAAUUUUGCUAAAGCCAUUAGAGAACAACUAGAUAGAAUAAAAGCUUCUUCUUUUUCGUCUAGUAAGGUCCAAAUUGCCCCUGAUAGUGCCCAAUCUAGUAAGAUUGGUGUACUAGAACAAGACGAUAUGUCUAUAGCCUCCUCCGACAUGGAAGCCUUUAAAGAAGAACCUAUUCCUAAAGCCAACAAAAUCCAUUGGGAAUUAGCUCUCCCUACUGUCAAGUCUCCACCUGACUUAGCUAUAGACAGUAGACCUAGUGCCCUAAACCAAUCACGGUUUAAUGCAUCAUCUGUCUAUGAGUGGAAUAUUGAUGGUAUGUCUGAGUAUAACAUUCUAGGAUUGUUGCAACAGAUGACCAUGGCAGCUAAUGCCUAUAAAACUCAGUCGGGAACUUCUGACAAAGCCAUUGCAGAAAUUCUCAUUGCUGAGUUUAUUGGUCAACUUAAAGGUUGGUGGGAUCAUCUUCUCAUCAAACAGCAAUAAUUAGAUAUCCUCAAUUCUAUUCAAACAGAUGAAAAUGGAGCACCCAUAUUAGACGAAUUGAAUGAUCCAAUUCAGGAUGCAGUUGCUACCCUGAUUCUUACAAUUUCCUUACACUUUAUAGGUGAUCCUUCUCACCUUAGAGAUAAAAAUACUGAGUUACUACAUAAUUUGAGAUGUAGGAAACUUAGUGAGUUCCAAAGCUAUAAAACCACUUUCUUUACCAGAUAUUUCCUAAGGGAUGAUGCAAAUCAUAUAACUUGGAAGGAAAAAUUCCUUGCAGGUUUACCUACCCUAUUAGGAGAAAAGGUUAGGAAUUCUAUUAAAGCCCUCUAUGACAAUCGUAUUCCCUAUGAUGAGCUCACCUACGAUGAACUUGUCAGCGUUGUUAACAAAAAAAGUUUAAAGAUUUGUCAGGACUUGAAGUUACAGAAACGGCUGAAAUGGGAGCUUAGAAAAUCUAAGCAAGAAUUAGGCAGUUUCUGUAAGCAAUUCAACUAUGACCCCUUUAAAACUUUUACUUCUAAAGAUUGUAAUGGUAAGUGUUCUUCGAAACCUUAUAAAAAAUAUUACAAUUCAAAAAGCCAUAAAAAACCCUUUCAAGAUUUUAGAGAACUUUCUUAUAAGAAACCUUCAAGGCCUUAUAAGAAGCCCAGUUUCUCUAAAAAGAAAGAUUUUAGACCUAAACAGAAAACUCCUUUUAACUACAAAGAAGCCACAUGUUACAAAUGUGGAAAGAAAUGCCAUACUGUAAAAUUCUGCAGGAUGAACAAAAGGCUCCAGGAGCUUGGCCUUGAUGAAGAAUUAUUUUCUAAAAUUGCCCCUUUGCUUGUAGAAUCUUCUAAUUCUGAGUCUUCCAUGACGGGAGACAGUGAGCCUCUGCAGGUUGAUGAGUUAAUUGACUCAGAUACAUCUGCAUCUAGUAAUAAUGAUUCUGAUACAGAAUCUUAUUUAAAGAAAAUCAAUGUGUUGACCAAAGACUAAGAAACUUUCCUUGAAUUAGUCAAACACAUUUCUGACCCAACUCUCCAAAGAGAAUAUCUUGAUAAGCUUCUAAAAACUUUAGAAGUAAGUAAAGCAGAAACUUCUAAAGCCUCAAUUAUUAAAAAGAAUACUUAUGAUCUCAUUGAAAUCCUUGAUAAGAAGAAAACAAAAAAACAACUCCUAAUAUCCAAGAUCUUCAGAAAGAAAUAAAAGAUAUUAAACUUGAAAUAAAAGAGUUAAAAGAAAAAUAAAAGAAUGAUUCGGAUACUAUCCAACUCCUCUUACAAAGACAAUUACAAGAUAAUUCUGAUAAAGAACCAGAAUCUGAUGGUGAUAAUGAAGAACAAAACCUUGACAACAUUGAAUCUGUACCCAAUGAUUUUUUGUUUGUUUUAAAGCAAAUCACCACAAGAAAAUAUCUAAUCAAAAUUAGUUUGAUUUUUUCUAAAGAUUUUGAAAUAGACACCAUUGCCCUUUUUGACACUGGUGCUGAUCUAAAUUGCAUUAAAGAAGAUAUUGUCCCCAGAAGGUUUCAUGAGAAAACUAAAGAAAGAAUUUCUGCCGCCAAUAAUUCAAAACUUGAUGUCAAAUCUAAAGUAGACGCCUCUAUUCAUAACAAUGGUUUUGAAUUUAAAACUUCUUUUAUUCUUACAAAUGACAUACACCAUACUGUCAUUUUAGGAACCCCUUUUAUCAAUCUUAUUACCCCUUAUACUGUCAAUUAUGAUAAUAUAUCUUUUAAAGCAAAAACUAAAAAACUUGGUUUCCUUUUUAUUAAAAAACCUAAAACCAGAAAUUUAAAUAUUGUUAACGCAUGUUCUGUUUAUCAUAACCAAAUCAAUCCACUUCUCAAAUCUAAACAAAAUGACUUACUCUGUUUAAAAAAGGAUUUGAGUUUACAAAGAAUCGAAAACCAAUUACAAAAUGAAUUUGUAAAAAGAAAGAUCUCUGAUCUAAAAAACCUCAUUGAAAAAGAAAUAUGUGCUGAUCUACCAUCUGCUUUUUGGAAUAGAAAACAACAUUUGGUUGAUCUGCCUUAUGAAAACUCUUUUGAUGAAAAACAAAUACCCACCAAAGCCCGUCCAAUCCAAAUGAACAUGGAAUUGGAACAACAUUGCAAAGAUGAGAUAAAAGACUUAGAAUCUAAAGGCCUCAUAGUCAAGUCUAGGUCUCAUUGGUCUUGUGCUGCUUUCUAUGUCAAUAAGAAUUCUAAGAUAGAAAGAGGAACACCCAGACUAGUCAUAAAUUACAAACCCCUGAAUAAAGCAUUAAAAUGGAUUAGGUAUCAUAUACCUAAAAAAAAUAUUUACUCCAGAAAUUGCACUCUGCUUUCAUAUUUUCUAAGUUCGAUAUAAAAUCAGGGUUCUGGCAAAUCCAAAUUCAUCCCAAAGAUCGUUAUAAAACUGCUUUUACUGUUCCCUUUGGACAAUAUGAAUGGACUGUUAUGCCAUUUGGUUUAAAAAAUGCACCUUCAGAAUUUCAAAGAAUUAUGAAUGACAUUUAUAAUCCUUUCUCUGAAUUUUGCAUUGUCUAUAUAGAUGAUGUGUUGAUUUUCUCCCAAACUAUCGAUCAACAUUUCAAACAUCUAAAGACGUUUUUUCUUGCCACUAAGAAGGCUGGUUUAGCCAUUUCUAGUUCUAAAGUUUCUUUGUUCCAAACAAAGAUCAUGUUCCUCGGUCAUUACAUUACCAAAAGAACCAUUACACCAAUUGAAAGAUCUCUUUCAUUUGCUGAUAAAUUUCCUGAUAAAAUCCUUGGCAAAACCCAAUUGCAAAGAUUUUUAGGAAGUUUGAAUUAUGUCCUUGACUUAUGUCCUAACAUUAAUAGAUUAUCAAAACAUUUGCAUGAUAGAUUAAAAAAAAACCUUGUUGCAUGGACUGAUGAACAUACUAAAGUUGUUAAGUUGAUAAAAAGUUCUGUUAAAGAUAUUCCAUGUUUAUUUCUUGCUAAUCCUGCAUUACCUAAGAUUGUUGAAACUGAUGCAUCUGACUUAGGUUAUGGAGGAAUAUUAAAGCAAAAAGAAAAUAGUAAAGAACAAAUAGUACAAUAUGUUUCUGCUCACUGGAAUGAAUGUCAAAGAAACUAUUCUACUAUUAAAAAAGAAAUAAUUUCUAUUGUUUUGUGCAUAUCAAAAUUUCAAAGUGAUUUGUUAAAUCAAAAAUUUUUACUUAGAAUUGAUUGCAAAGCCGCAAAACAUAUUUUAGAAAAGGAUGUUCAAAACAUUGCAUCAAAACAGAUUUUUGCACGAUGACAAGCUAUUUUAAGUGUUUUUGAUUUUGACAUUGAAUUCAUUAAAGGCGAUACAAAUUCUAUCCCUGAUUUUCUAACCAGGAAAUUUCUCCAAAACAGAUAAUGCCGCCCAAACGAAAAGACAAAGGGAAAUGGAUCCUCAAAGACCUUGUAUCCCAUACACCACCUAAAGCAUCCCAAUCUUCUCCACCUAAAGAAAAAUUACUUUCCUCUGCUAUGCCGAUCAAAUCAUGGAUUGACAUGGUUGAAGAACAAGAAGCCCAAUCUAAAGCCAUUACCUCCCAGGAGCAGAUAAAUGAAUGGAUGAAAUCCAUUUCAAAAUCCCCUGAGCUUAUGCUCGCUUUGCAAAGUAUUUCCCAAAAUAAAGCUUUUUCUCCAGUUCCUGAGGAAGAGAAAUCUGUUUCUAAAGCACUUUCAAAACCUUCUCCUUCUAAAGAAAUUAUUUCUUGUGAAAGCUCUUCUUCAAUCAUUGUUUCCUAAUCAAAGCUUUCACAAAAAUCCUCGGAUUGGUUUUAUAAAACUCAUCAUCAAAAUGUUUUAUCUAUGGAAUAUGAGUUUUAUCAUUCUGAUUCAUUUCAAGUCAUUUCAAAGAUUUUCUCAGAAGGCUGGUUUCUCAAACCUUGGGAUUUGUCAAAACCCCAGUCUUUCUACCAAAGUAUUUUGGAAAUCACUGAGUCUGUAAAAUUCAAGCAUUUCUUCCUCAGUGAAUCCCACACUGAGCCAGCCUAUUCAACGGCUACCAUUCUUAAAGUUUUGAGCCCAAAACAGUGGGGUGAUGAACUUCACAAACUAAAGACUUUUUCCGCCAGUUUCCAACAAAAACUAAAACACUAUUUAUUUUUCUCUUACUGGGACUAUCAACAGGCCUGGUUUAAUACCUUCUUUAUACAAAACCCUAAAAAGACCCAUUCGUGGUAAUUCUUUUUCAAUUCAAAAAUAACUGUUCAAAGCCUUCCAAAUUGGUUCAAACAAUGGUGGAACUAUUUUGGGCCAAGCCCAGAAAUACUCACUCCAAAUGCCAUAAACUGUUUAAACCUUUUUAAAUCCCAUUAUGUCCCCUCUGAGUCAGAAAAGAGAUUCCCUCAUUUCCUCUGUUUCUGUACAAAUUUCUUUCUUCCUUGGGUUUGGAUGUGGAAUUUUCAAUAUCACACUAUCGAAGCCCAAUUGAUUCUACAAAGGAACUUUAAAGUCAAAUGGUGGUCUAAAUUUGAUGAAAAGUCCAAACUGACCGAAACCACAGUUCGAACGUGGCUUUCCUCAAAAGGCCUCAUUCGGCCCAGUAUCAAAGAUUCUAAAAUUCAAAGCACUUUCUUAUCUCAAAAGUCUAAGGCCCAAUCCCUUUUGGCCAGUGCAAAAAACGAAGAUGAAUAUUUUAAAGUUAUGUAGCAGCUCCUUGCUUCAAGAUCUGAACCGUCCGUCGCCAGUUCUUCCACUGAAGACGAGGUUGAAGAGGAGCCGUUCAUUUCCCUCGGAGAUGAUAAUGAAGAUGACUGUUUCGGCAUUUUCCCUCCAAUAAAGAAAUUUUAAUUAUUGUACUUUGUAUAUUCCCUGUACGUUUCUUGUAAAAAAAAAAAAGUAAUUAUCAUUUGUAUUUUCAGUAUUUGUCGCUUGUGCUCAUUCUCCCUGUACUUCUCAUUUGUAAUAUUUUCCCUGUAAUUAUUAUUUUCAAAUUUUUGUCUUCCUCUACUCACUACCCUUUGCGGGAAAAAUUGUGAAGAUAAAUUUUCAAAGCUUCCUGGCCCACUCAAAAGUUAAAGACAAAGACCAAAUGAUACUGUCUCCCACGAUUCCAAAGCAAGUACUAUUGUUGGGCCCCAUUCUCCACCAUCACUUGUAAAGUUUGCGAUUUAUGUGCGUCUACAGCACCAAAAGAACAAAAAGCCACAAGCCCCGUGAAGACCCCCGGGAUUCACGGAUCUUGCCUCGAGUCCUCCAGCUUAUUUAUUCUCCUCUCUCUCAGAAGCAAGGCAGAAUUUUUUGGAGGAGCAAGAAUUCUCUCUACGAGAAAUCAAACAAGACCUCAAGGAAAUUUUCAUGUCUUGUAAUCUUUUCCAUUUCUCAAAUUGUAAACACUUUCUUUAUUUUCUUUCUCUCUACAACGCUUUCGGGAUUCAAGUAGACUUGUAAGAUCUCGAUCUAAUGUAAUUUUAUUUCCUGUAAUUAAAUUCAAAGCUUUAAAUUAUAUUUUCAAUUCUGUCUUUUAUUUUCAGAAGCAUGUACUGCAGGCUGAUCUUCUAUAUCAGAAUCCUGCCAUAAAACCAGUUACUUUCCUCUAAGGCAAAGAGACUAGAUCUCUGUCCUUAGUUGUACCUUCUCUUCUCCCUCCAUUCAAUCAGAAUACUAGUUCUAGGAUCCAUAUCUAGUAUUAUUUGUGAGCCCCUUUUGCGGUAUAUAGGCUGGAAAACAGAACAUGCGAGAUAUUGAUCUGUUCUAAGUCAGAUCUGGUCUCAAAGGCAGACUUAGUUUUGCAUUGAUCUGGUAACAAUGCCACGUACCAAUUUUUAUUGCUUAUUAUUUUGUCUUUAAAUUAUUUAUUCUCUUUGAACACACACACACUCCACGAUCUUGGUGUAUAUAUAUAUAUAUAUAUAUAUAUAUAUAUAUACAUAAUUCAAAUUCACAUAUUUAGGUCUAUUCAGACUUUAAAUGAAAAAAACAAAUGUUACCUUAGUGUCACGGGCCGCUCAAAUUUGCCACCAACGGAGGUUAAAUUGGUGCGCACAUGUACGCUAAGUAAAAGACCGGCCAAAGGUGGAGUGCGCUAAGCAACAGGGUCCGCUCAGAAAUGGACCGCCUCAUAUAAUUAGCAAGUCAUGGUGCAUUUAGCAAGCGGCCAAAGUGAGCAAACCUAGCUCGAUUUUAGAAAUCUCUAUAACUCUCUACAACUUGUAAGUAUCUAGAUAAUUCCACACGUAUGUAUAGCUUGACUUCUCCAAAACUUAGGAGAUUUUUAGGCAAUUUGCGCAAGUUGUGCAAGUGGCAUAAAACUUUCUAGACCUAGGCAAGCCACUCUAUAAAAUAGGGUAUGACACCCACCAUUUUGGUCGACACCACACCACACACUAAGCAACUCCAGCAUCCUUGUCAAGCUUUCUUGUAUUCUCUCUUGUGAGUAAUAAAAUUCUCUUUAACCAUAUUACUUUUUCUUCUUUCUAGCUUUCUCCCAAGCAUUCUUCCUUAGUCAGCUUGAGGAGUUCAAUAGGCUUACUUAACAACUAUUGUGCUAAAAGUUGUUUAAGUAUCGUAAGAGUUACUAUGCAACAAACUCAUCAUGUGACAUUAGUCCAUGCACCUUUUGAAGAAGUAAUUUGAUGGGUCAAACUGCCACUAUAGAUUUACCCAUUAAAUCCCAACCAAAAUAUUAGUACUUUGAGUUGGACUAUUGGUACCCCUUUAAUCUCCUCAUAAAACUUUUUUUUUUUUUACAGUUAUUCUUACUUUAAUUUAAAAAAGUCUAAAAAUAAAACACUCUUCUAUUUUUAACUUAAUUUUUUUAUUGUUAAAAUUUAAAGUAGCAUCUAUUUUUUUUUCUUUUGCAAUCUUAUUAUUACUCUACACAAACAUUUAAAAAUUUUUGGGUAAUAAGUUUUUUAAUGUCAAUCAUUCACGUCAAUUACAUAUAUUUUUAAUAAUAAUUUGAAAGCAAUCUAAAGUUCAUAAAUGUUCAAUCAGUGAGAAAUAGAAAAGGAACAAUAAAUUAUUUUAAAUAUGUUUAAUUUAAUUUUGGUUAGAUAGGAAGUGACAAGUUAAAAAAAAAUGAUUGAUUAUGUAUGUAAGUAAUUUGCAAGGAAAGAAAAUUAAUGUGUUUAAUUAGAUUCAUAUUUAUCCUUAAAUGUAAUUGCACACAAAGUGAGGUUCUGUAAAGACUAUAAAGGGCUGCUAAAAGCUUCUGGCCCAACUUUGUCUUCUUCAAUUUUAAGCAAACUAGUCCCUUUUUGGGCAUAGCCUCACUUCUAAGGAAAAUAAUAAUAAUAAUAAUAAUAUAAUUUAUAUUUUUAAUCACUUCAAUCGCAUAAUAAACUUUAAACUCAGACCACUUAAACAUGAAUUAAGAUACUCUCUCUAUAUAUGGGCUCUCUUGAACUUUGAAAGUCAUGUAGAUUUUUUUUUAUUAAAUGAAAGUGUGUGUUUAAAAUGUAAUUGCUUCAAUAAUUUUAUUAAUAAACCGCGAAUCACCUAUAUAAAUUUUACUUAUGCAAAGUUCCUAUGUUAAAAAGGAGCCUUGAUUCCUUGAACACAUGCGUUGGUGUCAGCAAACUAAGGUAACCUAAAAGAAAAAAGAAAAAUAUCAUUCGUUAUUAUUCUCUAGCAUUUGUGGUUUUAAAAUUAUUGGUGUAAAAUGUUUGAUAAAUACUUAUAAUUUUAAUUUAAAAAUUAAGAUGAUAUUAUACUUUCUCUAUUUUGUCAAAAUAUUAACUCUAUAAAGGAAAAGUCAUAUUUUCCAAACAUCAUUCAAGACGUGCAAGAAGACAGAUUGGGCACAAGAGAUCCUAACUCCAAACAAAGCUUGAAUGUGAAAAAUGAUUUAAAUAAUUUAGACAAUAUAGUUUAAAAUCAUCAUGUUGGCUCUUGCAUUAUCGCAAUUGGCUUGUUUUUACUUGCCCUUUUUGCCAAAUAUACUGCUGAAAAUUACCCAUUUUGGUAGGUUCUCUCCACUUAAAAUUUUAUAAUCAUAAGAUUAAAUAUAUACUAAUAAAUAAGUGGACAUACUCUAUGUCUGCUGUAUGGAGGAACUAUGAUAAGAAUUGUUCUGAUUGUGGGAUCAUUUGCUCGUAUUUUAUUUUCAGCCAAAGUGCUUAGCUGCAGCCUGCUGCUACAAUUGCAUAUAUUCCAUUCUCUAAUCUCACAUCCCAAUUAAAGAACUAAAAUAAUUAUUGCAUUUAAGAAUCUUUAAUUGCUUACUCAACCAGAGAGAUUAUAUAAGUUAACCCAAUUUAGGAAGAAAAAUUAAUGAGGGCUCCCAUCAUUUUCACUCACAAAUCACAAUUCUUUUCAUCUCACCAAACAAACAAAAUAAUUUAAUGCCAUAUUUAAAGGGGACCGAUCAAUGCGGGCUCCUCCAUGAUAUCUUCUUGUCUAUAAGAUUCUCUCUAUUAUUUUGCCUGUGAAUGUGACUUGAUUGUCAUGAACCCAAAUAAACAUUACAGUUUUUUGUGUGUACUUUAAAUUUUAGUGGGAUAUGACUAGGGCUAGGUUAGGUAAAAGGAUAAUAUCUGGGGAUCUUCAACAAGCUUCACCAAUCAAGAAGCUGUUUGUAGACCAAAUUAUUGGGGAUCAGCACCCAGCACAGCCUCAGCUGCUUCAAAAUCAUGAAAACUGAUAGAUUCAUCAUGCAUUUGGAAUCAUGCUUGUUUAACAUCUCUUUGACAGGGGCCUUAGGCCACAUUCACCACACAUUGAGAAAACGCCCAAAAGUACUUUUAAAAAAGCCAAAACCAAAUUACAAGCACAUGUUAAAACAUAAAGGUUUGGAAUCUUUUAGGGUGUGUUUGAAUAAUAAUUAUCUUUUGUCAAAAACCCCAUGGACAAAAGCACGUUCUUUCAUCUAUGUAGCCGUAAGAAACUGCAGUUAGGCCUAACGUCGUAAUCAAUUUGGGUCUGAGUUCAUUUUCCCAUUUAGUCCCUCAAAUUGAGACUUGCGAACCGGGAAUUGUUGGUCUAAAUAUGGGAAAAUAUUCUCCACAGCUUACUCAUCUACCCAUCAAUAAAAGAUAUUAAAACUAGAGAAUCUCAUUAAGAUUUUGAUUAAGAAAGAAUAUGAUAAGUGAUCACAUUAAAUUAAAGGCCCUUUCAAUGUAUUCUCCCCCACUAAAAGAUAAUUUUAGAUCUUGUCUUGUUAUCAUGUACAACAAAAACACAAUAAUUUCUUCAUGGCGUGUUUCUUUCUACUCAUCAUUCUGGUAAAUACAAUAGUGGCAUUACAUACAGAUCAUACAGAAUCAUUCCCGUAACAACUUAUUCUGUAUCUUAACAUAAAAAUAAUUGUAUGCCCGAAGGAACUCAAAUGCCGAUACAUUUUGAACAGGUAGGAUGCAGCAUCAUUACUGAAAGAAGAUGAAGAAAAGGAAAAAAAUAGGAAAAGAGAUGAAGCAGAUUGGGUGAAGAUAUUGUCUCCUAAUUUUCAAAAGUAAAAGCUGAAGUUUGGUCUUGUUCAGUCUCAGAAGAAGAAAUAUUCAAGGUCUAAGUGCAAGAUAAGAAGAACAAUGAGAUCUUUUUGCAGGUUCUAGCCUAAUAUGUCAAGCUAUUGAGAACCAAAAAGGGCAUCAUGAUAACGAAGUACUGGUAAUCGUGUUUAACAGACCUUACCCAUGAACAAGCUCUGACUGGGGAGAGAAAUGAAGUUCCAAGCUAUCUAAGUUAAAAAGAUGGGAAGUUGACAGGCUAAUUCUACCAAAAUUCCAGAAAUAUCUGUCACCAAGGAAACAGAUUAAACUCAAAAGUCAAAACCUUAAAUUCAUGGGAAAAAUUGGAAGUUUUAAAAGCAAAGCAAACAAGGAAAUUAAACAGGAAACUAGAAGCUUUAUGAUAUAGAAAUAGAUGGUCUCAGUUUCUUCCACGAAAACAUGAGCAUUUUAGUACCCUUAUACCAAUUCCGAGAGUAAAUAAAACUCAGAUUCAAUACACAAGGAAAGCUAAUCCUGCAAAAUUUCACAGCCUCUCUCUUUCUCUCAAGAUCCUUCUCCUUUAUAUAUAGUAUAUAAUUAUUGUUAUAUAGUCAUAAAACUUCCUCCCAUGUAUACUUUUAUCUGCAAAAUUCAUGGUGGAUAAACUCUAUACAUCAUUCUUUUCCAGAUUUGUGAAUAUGACUUUUCCAGCUAUAGCCCUCAGAUUUUGCAUCUUCAUCAUCCUCCAUGCUAUCACCUCCAGUAGUAGAGGUCCCUCCAGUGUUUCCAGUUAACUGGAGAGGGCCCUGAGGAGAACCAGAUUGGGAACUGCUCGCCUUUGAGGAGUCACCAUACUGAUCUUGAGACAUCCACAAACUCCCCAAAACAACUGUUGAUUGGUUUGCAGGAGCAGCUGGAACAGCAGGUGACGUUCUACGAGUGUGAAGUCGGUAUUUCUAGAAUGACAAGAAAAAUCUUUUGUCAAUCUCCACAAAAUUCAAAUUUCAUACAUUACAAAUAAGAGCAUAGGAAUUAGAAAGGAACUUCAUAGAAGUCAGUUCCUAACUUAAGCUUCUAAGGUGUUGACUUUGACAUCGCUCAUUCUUCCCAAUAAUCGAACAAGAUGGAAGAACAAUAACUCACCUGCAAAUGACUCUUUACUUCAUCGUUGGUCAAGCCAUCAACUUGCAUAAGUUCUCUAAUCUGCUUUGGAGUGGCAACUGCAACCAAAAUGCUCAAUAGUCAAUAUUAGAUGCUUCAAGAUAAAUGAAUCAAAGAUUAAAAGCCAUCACAACUACUUAAGCCAAGGGAACCAAAGAUACAACAAAAUUGAGUAUCAUGGUUGCUGUAAAGAUUCAUUUGUGUUGUACAAUUUCUUCUAGCCAGGUCUAUAAAUCUACUUGAAGCAUCAUUGAAUCGGAAAACAAUUUCCAAUAUUUGCCAAUUUAAUCUCUGGCCUAAAGGAAUCCAAUCCAACAACUCAACUACAAGAUCAUAGCAACACUACCAUACAUCACAAUCAAAAAAUCAUCUUAACCAAGAAAUUUAGUUCAUCACUGACCUUGUGAGCCUCCAAGUUGCUGCAAGGCACUGACAAACCGGCGGUGCAAUUCUGGUGACCAGCACCUCCUCUGCUUCCUAUUGGUCUGUUGCUGAGGUGGCUGUGGCCCAGUCCUCAAAUUUGACUGUACAUUAGGGGCCGAAGAGGAAACUGAUUUACUACAACUGGUUCUUGAACCAGUAGAACCUGUAUCCUCUCUAGGAUUCUUCAUUCCAGGAGUAACAAGAGACAACCCAUGAACUGGCAACUCCUCUUUGUCAUCCUUUCUCGGGAAAACUGGACAGGUCUUAAACGGCAGAAAUGCCGUUGCUCCAGCCCCAGCUCCAGCCACUGCCCCAGCCCUACUUUUACAGGCCUGGAAUGGAUUCUCUUCUUCAUUUCUCUGCCAUAAAUGAAAAAAACAACCAAAGCAGAAAAACAUCAAAAUCAAUUCUUUCAAACUCUCGUUUUUCAUAUUGUUAACUUCGUUUUAGGUUUGUACCUUAAUUUUUAAAUUAAGAUUUUGCUUCGAAUCAAAGAUGGGAUCAUUAGUUGGAUGAUUAUCAUCAGUGUUCCAGAGCUGAACAGAGCUCAUCCAGUUUUUCUUGUUAUCUUUACUAGAGUCUUUUUCUUUUUUGAUUGGUCUCACAUCUUCAUCAUCAUCUUCAGAGUUGUUAUUCUUCAAUGGAAUAAAUUCUUCCAACACUGGUUGCACUUUCUUUGAUGCUCUAGCACAUUGCAUUGACUCCUCCUUCAAUACCAAAAUUGCUACAAAAACAACACAGGUGUAUCAGAAGAAGCUCAAUUGACUUUAUAAAAAAAUCUAAAAUAAAAAUUGAAUUUUUCAACAACUAAAACCAAUCAAAACCAUAACAAACCAAAACACAUCUCUCAAAAACAAUUUUUUAAAACAACCCGAUUAAGGAUUUGAUGUUUAGAAAUAAAGAAGCAAAAAAAAAAUUGAAAGACGAACCAUCGUUCAAGAGGAGCAUGCAAAGAGGAAGCUCGCGUUUAAAGGCAUCGAUCUUUCUCAAUUCAUCUUCUAAUCCCUUGAGAAAGGAAUCAAGCUUGGAAAGUUUCUCAGAAACAUUACCGAUCAUAGAAACUUCCCUGAGAAAAUCAGUGAUCGUUUUUGGCACAAAAUUUGUAGGUCUAAAAUCCAAGCUCAGUUCUGGCGGAACCGAACCCAUUUCUCAAAACUCAAAACUUUUCUCUUAUCCCUUUCCUUAGAAAUCUGAUUUUGUUUCUCCUAUUGUAUGUAUAUGUCGGUUUGUCUGAUAAUGGAUGCUGCAACUGAGGAAGAAAAUAGGAGAGAAUAAGAAAUGGGGAGAUCUCUGUGUAUAUAUAGAGAAAAUAUAUCACACAUAUAUGUAUGUGUAUGUAUAGAUGUACAGAUGAAUAGAUGUAUGUAUGCGGUGAGAUUGAGAGAGAGAGAGAGAGGUGUUUUUGUAUUUUGUAUUUUGUAUUUUGUUUUGUUGGGUUGUUUGCAGAGAAAGAAAGAGAGAGAAAGAAAGAGAAAAAAAGGAAUAAAAGAAGAAAACGAGCAGAGAGUGGGAAGAGGAAAUUUGGAACGCCCAAAAGAUUCUGUGUCUUGUGAUUUUUGGUCUAUUUACUCUCUCUCGCGUCGUCGCGUCCUUCAUCCGCUGCUCUGAAUUUCCUUUCCUUUUUUUCUUCAACUCGCUCGUCUCCAACUCACCGUUUAGUUUUAGGUCCCCACACUUUAGUAAUAUUAAAUACUUGACCCUGUACUUUUGCUCAAUUGCUUGCAAAUCCUUAAUAAUAUUAUUUUUAAUAUCAACUAUUCGGGGAUUGACUAUUAUAAAUCUGAAAUAUUUUACAGGAUACUACAUGUUAAAACAUUGAUACUAUUAUGGACGGUGCUCGUGAUUUGGCAGGUUUAGGAGUUAUAGUAGCUCGUGAUUGGUAAGAUAAGUUAUAUCAACAUGCGUUGAUUAUAUUAAGAUUAUGGUGCUUAAAUUUACUUUGAGUGGUUGUGUUUGACGCAAGUUUGUUGUCCACUUAUUAUUGAGUUCGACUCUAACAAGUAGUUCGCGUGAUAUAUUGUAGCUCGAUCUUCUAAUGGUACAACUCAUCAAUUAGCAAAAAUUGUUUUAUAAGUUAGUUUUUUUUUUUGUGAUCUAGUUAGAAGAUAUUUAUCAAUAAAUAUUGACUCUUUAUAAUGUCUAGUGUUUGACUUUUGGAUGAAUGUUUAUUUGACAAAAAAAUAUAUAAGUCUAUAGAUUAACAUAUUUUACGAGUAUACAAAUACAGUUUCAACAAAAUUCAAUGACAAAGACUUGUAUGAAGUGAGUUACAAAAUAUAUACUCAUUUCAUAAUUUUUAAAAAUACUAGGGAUUCGGUUGUUAUCAUAGGAGCACAUUCCCAGUUUAUUACAUUAAAUUCAAAGUAAGUAUAAAAUUUCAUUUAUCCCUUUUAAUUUGUUGGUUCACAUCAAAAUCUCUUCCAUGUAUUAUCAAUAAAAAUUAUAUCAAAUGAAUCAAUUAAUAUUCAUAUUUUUAUAAAUAAUCAAAACUGUGAUUAAUUUGAAAGUAUUUAAAAAAUGUAAUGCAGUGAAAAGUAUUCAGGGUUAGUAUGGAAUAUCUCACAAGUUUCCUUUUAUAAAAAUAGCAAAUAGAUAUUUUGUUUUUUUUUUAGAAUUUAACAGUGUUUUUUCCUUUUCUUCUAAAUUGCUUAACUCGAACUUAACUCAAACGAGGCAGCGAAUUUGACGACUCAUGAAUCGGAAUCUUUUUUUUUUUUUUUUAAUCGUACACGGAGUACAAACUUUUCUUUUUUUUAAUGUCCUUUUCCCAUUUUUUAAUAUAUUUAUAAAAAAAAGGGCAAUUUGAUUUCUUUAUUAUUUUUGCUUCAUAAGAUUCUCGAGGAUGAAGCUACCGAUUGACAAAUGUCAUGUUGUAAAUACAAAAAUGUCAAAAGUUAUUGUCCCCUUUUUACCAAAAUGCCCUCCGCUUUUACCAACUGACUAAUCAACCCUAUAUAUAUAUAUUUAAUGGGGUAAGCAUCUAAAUCAUUGUAUCUUGAAUGGGUCAAUUGAGGUAAUCCAACAGAUAAUAUUAAAUGGAAAGGUGACAUUGCAGUCAAAUGAAGGAAACUAGUUUAAUCUUAAUAAAGCAAACUUUGGGGCUUGGCUUGUCUAGUGAGAUAGGUCAAGAAUCAUUUUAAGUUUUUUUUUGAAGCAAUAAGGGCCAUCUAAUUGGAAUGUUUUAGGGUUAGGCUUUGUUCACUGGGAUUCCAACACGUGUAUUUUACCAUUUCUUUUUAACUUAAUUCUUGUUCACCAUCUGCCUUAAGAUUCUUCUUUUUUCUUUCUUGAAAUGCUUGAUCUUUUGAUUCCAAAUUUCAAAGGGAAUCCCCCCCAUUUUCUAAUUAGCCUUUUGGGUUAGUGGUUAGAUUAGAAAAUAUCCACUUUUGUUGAUUCCGUAACCCUUGUUUCUUUGUGGUUAUUCUUUUAUACCUAAAAAGGUACACACAGUCCACCUAAGGACCAUUUAUUAAUUAGGAUUCUUGCAAAUUUUGUGAUUAUUUUAAUCGCGACCGUCCACACGCCAUUUAAAUAUCUGAAUUUGGUGGAAAAUUUGCUGGUUAAUUAGGAUUAUUAUAUGACCAUAGAAGUACAUAACCACAUCUCAUUUACAUUCAAUUAGAUGAAUGAGACUUGGCUUAAUUAGUGUUUUUAUAUUGCAGUUCAUGUGUUUAAAUUUUAAAUCUUGUAGGUGCCAUAUUUCAAAGACAUCAAAUCAUGCCACGUGUCUGUCCUUUCAGAUAAAAAAAGAUAUUUCAAGGUAAUAAUACCCUAACUAUUCCAGAGAAAUAGCACUUAAGGAAAAAUUCUUACAGAGCUCAUAAAAAUGGCAAGAGGAAAAAUUAUUUUCUCAAUCCAUUGGUCUAAGGAAAUCAUGCCCAAAGUUUAUAAUCACAAGAAAAUACGCACGUGUGAAAUAAUUUCCUACGACCAAAUUCACUUCCACGAGUACAGAAUUGAUAGUCAUGCCAUUAGGUUGAGGAUUCAAAACAAUACCUUAAAUCCACAUCACUCAUCGUCUAUAAAAAGAGACUCAUCUCUAAAAGAAAGGGGUUUUUGACCUCCAAAAGCAUUGUUUAUGCUUAGAGAGAGAAACUCAUAUUCUCCAUAUUUUUUAUUUCUUUAAUCUUAAUUAAACACUAACUUAGAAGUUAGAGUACCUUACUCAUCCAUUUGAAUUCGAGGCCAAUGAUUGUGACAAGUUCUCUACAAAGUAUAAAUAAGUGUGAAGAUAAAAAAAUCCAACACAUUCAAAUCCAUUUUAAAAGACUUCUUAUUAACAUUUAAUAAGAUGUUUUUCAAUUUAAUUGGCUAAUAACCAUAAAAAAUCUUGUUACACUUGAUUUCAAAGUAAAGUUGAAGAAGAUAUAUACCUAAUGUUAUCACUAGAGCCUUGAAUCAAAUUUUAGCAUGCAUAAUGAACUUUUGUGAUAUCAUUAUUUUUUUUUUAGCAUUAUUGUUUAUGUAAGAAUGUAGACAAAAUCUAAAUUGAUUUUUUAAUCCUCGCCUCCUUAAAAUUCGAGUAAGGAUGGAUUAAAAAAAUUACUUAAAAAUCACUCGCUUAGACCUUGAGGACCAAUAAAAAUAAAAUAAAUAUAAAAAAUUUAACAGUGCCGCAAGUAAAAUUAUUUAAAGUUGUAUUUAAACCUGUGCCAUACUAAAAGCUUACUACAAUAAUAAUUCUUUUAAAAAAAUUGUAAUUGGCAUCACAAAUUUUAAUGAUUUUUACAGGGUGUAAAUAAUUUAUUCCGUUAAAAAAACAAUAUUUUAAUCCGUUCAAAAAAAAUAAAUAAAUACAUAAUCUCUUUCCCUUUUUUUUUUUUUUUUGAAAAAAGGGGAAAUUGUAAUGGUGGGAAUUCCUGAAACUGACAGAUUACUGGCAGUGAUUGGAUAUUGUCAAGCACACACACCUGAAAAGCGUGUGGAUUGGAUCAACAUCAAACAAACAAAAAUGGUUAACUUAGAGAUAAGGAAUCUUCAAGAUGUCAGGGUCCCACUUUUUGAUAUUGCCUGAGAUUUCAGUUGGAAAGAUUUGUCAACAAAGUUUUUAUUAUUUAUUUAUUUAUUUAUUUUAAGAAUAAAUAAAAACAAAAAUAAAAAGGAAAGACAGAUGAGAGAAGAUGCCUUUUUUUUCUCCCAAGCAAAUAAAGGACAAGCUUUUACAGCCAUUAGAUUCCGUCUUCUCUUCCAUACAAGUAAGAAUCUCUCUUUCCAUUCAUCAAAUUUGAUCGCUAAUUCUUUUAAUAAAAUAAAAUAAAUUAUUUAAGAAAACGAUAUUAAAAUAAUAAUAAUAAAAUUCUAUUAAUAAUUUUAUCUCAGAGGUGUAGGUUGGAUUGGAUCCACCCAAUUUCCCGCAUCUCCUUGCUUUUUGUCUAUUGAGAUUUGGAAGAAUCUAUAAUUUUAUUUUUAUUCCACAAAAUUUCCCAAAAUACCCUUUCAUUUUAAGUUUUUUUUUUUUCAAAGGAAUAAUCAACCCAUCAAAAAAAAUCGAAAAUAGUGUAAAGAUUGAAUGAAUGUGAUUUAUGAAGUCUUUUUCAGGGAUAAGUGGAAUAGGCAAUGUUUAUGCAAGUGGACUCAUUUCGGCCCUAAUAAAAUUAAAUGUAGAUACGGCUUUCUCUUCAAAAUCAAAACUAUACCGAAGUUGAUUGAUUGGUAGCUGCCAUCUUCCUUUCAAACCCUAUUCCCUCCUCCCUCUUGGUCAUCAAAAUUUUCACUCUUAGACAUCAUCUAUUUCAAGUGUCUUAUGAUCCAAUAAUAAAAAUUGUUUUUCAUCAUAUAAUUUAAUAAUGUUGUAAACUUGAAUUUUAUUGUUUGAUUCAGAUAUAGUGGUGGAAUCAGAAUUUUUAAUCCGUGAUAUAUUUUAUUAUAGACAAUAACUAAUACUUUAUAAAUAAAUUUAUAAAAGAUGUAGAAGCUAAUGCUAUUAUCAUUUAGAAAAAGUUUUAAGUACCCAACAACAAGUGUAAUCACACUUUAUAUAAUUCCGUCAUUAUUUAUGUGAAACGUAGGAAAAUCAAUUAUUAUUUUUUAUUGAUAUUGCAAGUGAUUUGAAGCAUAGAUAAAAUAAUAUUAAUAAAUGUAAGGUCAUGAAAAAAAAAACAAUUAUGAUAUUAUUGACAUAGUAAAAUGUCAGUAUAAAGGAAUAAUAGUAGGAAGAAGGGCAGUUUAGGUGACCCCCAAAGAAAAGAAAGAAUGGCUUGGCAUUCCUCAUGUAAAUGUGAAGAAUUUUUAUUAAUAUUCUUUCUCUAGAAAUGUGUCAAAGGGAAUUAGAUUCUCUUAAUCCUGCUUCCAUUGAAAGUAAUGAUAGCAAGGAAAUGAAGGAAUUGAAGCCAGCCAUAGCCAGCCAGAUCAUUCUCAUAUAUAUAUAUAUAUAUAUAAGAUGUGAUAAUGAUGAUGAUUGAUGGGCGUCGUUCAAAUUUAUUUAUUUAUGCAAGAGAAACAAGUUGCCAAUUUGGUCAAUUCAAGAAAAAGGGAGGAAAGAAAAAAAAAAAGGGGAAAUGUGGAAUUUACUCAUGGGAGAGAGAAAGUUUAGGUGGGAAGCUUGAGGAUUGACCAAGUGAGUGCCAACUGCCAACCAAUUGGUAUUAGAUGGACAAAAGCAAAGCAUCUUCUCUUCUUUUAUUCUCCCCUGUUUAAAAUUGUGGGAUACUCUCUUGGAAUCCAAGACUUGGUAUCUAAUAUCUACAACCAUCCAACUUUGUCUUCAAACUUACUAAUACCAUUUAGAAUAA
rnacentral:lncRNA from 1 species